CGCAGGCGACGGCGAUCUGUUGCGGAGAGCGAAGGAAACAGCCGGCGGUUUACUAUCUCCGUUGCUGUUAUUGCUCCCAGUGGAGGAUAGAGAAGAAGGUGCGUGACGAGCGGGUUUCAGAGAAGCAGGUGCGAAUCUGAGGCUUAGAUCUUCAUCCUCGUCUUCCUCAUCUUCGUCUCCGUUGUCUUUGUUCUGCAAGGCCAUGACCUUAGCCAAUCUCUGAGCCGCCGCUUUGGCAGCAACGUUUUGAGACCGUUUGGCGGUGGAGAAACCUCCCACGCCUCCCAGUUGUUUCCGGUGAGCAGGAGACAUCGUCGGCGACGACGAUUCGGUACUGUUCGAUGUGUCGCUCCACUGGCGACCAUACACUGGGCUGCCCGCCCUCCUCCGAUCCAUAACUAACGUUUCGUGAAGUUACCAGUAAUCCACUGAUUAAUCAGAGAGAAAAAAUCGAAUUUCUCGGGAAAAAGCUAGAUUUUCUCGAGAAAAUCAAAAGAGGAAAACCGUUCGGUGAGAUUUGGAGAAAAGUGUUGGGAAUAAUUGAGACCCCGAAACGACAUCGUUUGAAGCGGAGAAGACCCAUUUGCGAGCAUCGCGGGAGAACCAAGUGACCUGAACACCGUGGCUGUGGGACCCAGCAGUCAAGUGCUGGUGGAUAUUUCCCUUUACAUAAUUUAAUAUUCAUUAUUUAAUUUGAAUUCAAAGCCAAGUUUGAAAUUAUAUUGAUCUAAUAUGGUUCAUGAUUUUUAAAUUGAAUGUGUCAACUUAAUCCGCGUGGGUGAUAUUCUACAUGUGGAUGAUAUUUUAGCGGAAAAAUAUAAAUCAUUUUGAAAAUAAUAAAUCAUAUUUUUGAUGAUAUAAUUAUUUUUUUACAAAAAUAUAUAAAAUUUAAAUGUAUUUUAAUUAGAAAACUCAACAUGAUGAUAGAAAUCACAUUUUAGAGGUGUUUAGAAAAUCGGUACAAUCUCAUCUAUACCGCAAAUUGGUUAUAAUUUUUGAAAUUGGUUUAAACGACGUUUAAGUAUUUUUUUAGUAUUGAGUUUAGCAAUUUCUAUAAUAUUACUCAAAAUAGUUAGUAUUUUAUGUGUCUAUUCACAUUAUUUCUCACAUUGACCAGUUACGUUGAUAUUAUUAAUGCGUUAGUUCUUAUAACUAAUUAUCAUUGUUAAUAUUUACAAUUUUUAAUUAUUAUUAUGUUUUACUUUAUAUUAGUUUCUAGACAUAGUAAAAAGGGAAUCUUUUAAAAAUAUUUCUAAAACUAUUUGAUAUAUUUUUCUUUCUUUUGAAUUUCAGUUAAGUUGAAUCUUGAGAUUCAAAGCAUCUAUAGUCUAUCACCAUGAGAAUGCUGGGUUCAAAGAAGGAAAAAUCUUCAUCAACAACCAAAAAAAACAGAUUUUAGAGUGAAAGAAUGCUCAUCAAAUAACCAUAUUGCAACAGAAGCUUGACCAAAACGCAUAUGUCUCAUCAUAUUUGCUUAGCAAUCUCUCAGUAAUGUAUUGUCACAUAGCAAAAAUACAGUCGACUGAUUUUUCUCAAGGAUCCAAAUAUUUUCCUUGAUUUCUUAAAGGGUUCAGUGAGAAACAAACGGUUCCCAGAAAGUCUAUAAAUAUAAGUUUUGAUGCUUCUAGUCAUACUAAGAAACAAACGGUUCCCAGAAAAUUUGAGCAAGUUUGAGUUACCAUUUGGUAAACUGACCAUGAGGCACAUGCAGUGGCGGAGGCACUUAAGAGGCAUGGUGGUCAACUGACCCAUGUAAAGUCUAUAAAUAUAAGUUUGUAGGCAUAUUUUGCAUGUUGUUAUUAUGGUAAUUGGUAAAUUGGUUAAGAUCCUUCCUUUUGAUCCACAUGUCAUAGGUUCAGACCUCAUAGAUGUUUUUUUUGUCUAUAAUAGCUCUGCCACUGGGCACAUGAGCUCAAGUUGUCAUCAAGUAUAAAACGUCGAACCCAUAUAUUUCGUGUAGCAGUACUUGGUAGUUGGUAGUUGGUACAAUCGCUUCACUUAUUAUCCUCUCAAGAAGAAAUACUGCACCUUCUCUACAAAUUAGACUUGCAUAGACCCAUAGCAUGUUUGUGUAUGAGAUAACAUCAGCCCACCCACUUUAUUCCUCCACGUGAAACUUGAUUUAACAUCUGGACUGUCCUCUCAGCUUUCCCACGCUAAAUUAUCAUAUUCCUCGUGAGCUCAUCCGGAGAUUUACCAUCAGCCGUCAAUUUCCAUGCUAGCUGCAGAGCUAACCCGGGGAGACAUGUAUUGCUAAUCCAUGUAAAAGCGUUUUGAAAGUCGUUGAGUCCACUCCAGACUUCUUAUGGAUAUCUCUCGGGUGAGGCCAUAAGCUUCUUCUGUUAGGUUCGUCUUUGAGAGCCCAUCUAAUAGUGAGUAACAAUGUUGGAGGACACUUGUGUAGCUGCUCCAUUUCUCGGUACACUUCUGCCCAUUCAAGCCUCCUUGCAUCGCACAAACCUUUCAAUUGAAGAAUAUAUCCAUUAUAAAACUAUAACCAUACAGAUACAUGAACAAUUUUCUUUGCACGUUAAGAGAAGACAUCAACACACAAAUCAAAUUCUAAAGUUUAUGUCACUUAACCAAUAUACAUUUAUUUGAACAGUUCUUGGAUCUUUCUAAUUUAAAUUGUAUGCAUGAUUAGCUUUAAAAAUUAUUGAUUAUAUUUGAUCAAAUAAAGAAAAAGUAUAAAUGUAAAUAAGAUUUGUGUGGUCAUUUUGUCAUAAAAUAUCUAUUUAUUACUGGAAUAAUCAUCAGCUUAUAUGGUACAAGUAUACUACUCUAUUGAUGCACUUAACUUACAAAACAUCUUUAUCAUUAAAUAUACAUACCUUUAGCUGGCGGAAUCUAAAAUCUUACAUCUUUUGAAUCAGCACAAGACGUUUUCAUCAUUAACGUCAACUGAAUUAAGCUAAAAAUGUAUAUGAGGGAUAAAAAUUGGAAGUGUCGGAAAGUCGAAAGGAUUUGCUUUUCAUUACAGAACUCUCAUAGUUGUGCACGAGCGUACGUGUAAAAAAAAGAAAAAAAGAACAUCCCAUCUUUCUCUCUCCUCGGCCUAGUUCGAUUCACCUGAUGACGAUUAUCUUUUCUCACAUCCCACUUCUUCUGACCUCUCCAGAUAAAACCUAAAAUACCUAAGCAAAAAGAUUUGACCUUUCGUCCUCUCAACUAGCUUCUAAAGUGAAACAAGAAAGCUCUAGAAAUGGCGGAACUGCAACCAGCUGACAACAGUAAUCAGCAACCAAACGGCGGCGUCACUCCUUCGGUUCCUUCAACCUCAGCGGAAGCGCUGGCGAUCCCCGGCGGCGGAUCGAAACGACUGAGGAGACCAAGCGUUCGAUUAGGCGAAAUCGGCGGCGACUAUCACUACGAUCCUCAGUCGAGGAAACCGAAGUGGGCACCGACGGCGACGGGGAACAAGACCAAAUCGUCGACGAGGACUCGGGCCCUGACGAAUAUCGGAACCCUAGAUGAUGAAAACGUUGAUUCUUUUGGUGUGGUUGGGAGUUGGCGGGUCAAGAAACGGGUCGGGUCAUCUACAGCAGGUGCGGCGAAGCGGGUAAGCUCCAAUUGGGAAGAAUUGGAAGGUGGGUUUAGGGAUUUCAGUAGAGAAGAUUCAGAGAGUCCGGUAAAGGAGGAGUCUUUAGUGAGAGACCGUGGUGGUGGUGGUGGGUUUUACGGUAGAGAAGGGGUCAAGAUUUGGUUGCAAGAGUUAGGGUUAGGGAGAUACUGGCCUAUGUUUGAGAUACAUGAGGUUGAUGAUGAGGUUUUGCCUUUGUUGACUUUGGAUGAUUUGAAAGAUAUGGGGAUUACUGCUGUUGGCUCCAGGAGGAAGAUGUUCUCUGCUAUUCAGAAGCUUGGUAGGGAGUUCUCAUGAUCGUCGAGAGUUUUGAUCGGUUUAGAAGAAGAAAAAACAUGUUUUGUGUUGUUGUUGUUUUAGUUGGUGAGAUAGUCAGUCAUGGCAUUGUAAGCUUGCAAUGUCUGAAACCACGAAUGAGAGAAGCCUUUUCUUCGUUUUUGUUUGUUAUAGUAUUUCAUUCGACGAUUGUUCUUACCUUUGUUGCUGCUUGUUUCAAUGUAGAAUUAACUACAGUUAUAUCAGUAGAAGUAGAGGUGGGAAAAGAAGAAGAUGAAGAAGAAGUAAUGAGAAGGUUUUCUUUUACUCUUUUGAUAUUUCUCUCUACUUCUUUUGAGAUGUUUCCAUGGAUGGUCUCUUUGAUGAUAAUGAACUUGUUGAAUAGUUGCAGCUUGUAUACCGAUUUGCGAUAAGAGUUUGAAAGAUAUGAAACUAAAUGUUGUCAGUCUAGCUUUUGAUUAGCAUUGUUAAGUAUUUAGCUAUCUCAUUAUGUAAAAACAGGAACAAGUACUUCGAUUCUUCUGGUAUGUCAGAAACAGGAGACGUGGAUAUGAAAAAUUCAGGUUUAUUGCGGAUUAGAGUUAGAUGUGAAUAUUGUCAUUUGGGUUGGCUGUAAAAUCAUUGAGAAACAAACGGUCCUAUAGAAAUAAAAUGUAUCAUUGUUUUCUCAUAUCAGGAGAGGUACAGUUAACCUAUAAAACAUGUACUAAUCUAUUAUAUAAUAGGAGAGUUUCUCUCAUCCUGAUGCGACACAUCCGCGAUCUGUGGGUCCUACUUUUUAAAAAUGUAAAAAAAUGUCAAAUAUGUGACUAGAACCCGGGUUAUUGAGAUAUAAGCACCCACAACUAUACCAUUGCACCAAAGGAUACUUUGUACAUUGAUGGUCGAAACUAAUAUAUAUUAUAAAGGUCGGAAACUAAUAUAACAUUGUGGACUCCACCUCUUUUUUUUUUUAAUUGAUGGGUAACGAAUGGACAUCGACAAAAAGUGGACUUUGGACUUAUUGAUUUUCUGUUUAUUAAGCUUUGUAUCUGUCCAAAGUGGUGAUACGGACAAAGCUAAGAAGAUUAGGGAAGCCGCCAUCUUCACCAUCUCCUUCGUCGCUUGCGAUUCCCCUUCCGGCAAUCAGCUAUUAUGGUUGAUCUUUAAAGCUCUACGCACGUUUUGCGCCUACCAAACGUUUAGUUUCUCCUCUAACGCCUUCAGAGCUCUCAUAUAUAUGGAAUCCCUCGAGGUAAAAGCUCCAUCUUGUCUCAAACUUUUUUUUCUCAGUUUUCCGAUCGCUUUACUUUCUCAUAUCUGUCACGAAAAUGACUUAUCCAGCUGCUCCAGCCGCUUCAGCCGCCGUUCCCUACUCCACCUUCAACUCUCUCCGCCUUGGAAGGUCCACUCAGUCCAUUGUUGGUCGGCUCAUCCGAUUCUAGGAUUCCAGGAACAUUAACAAGAAUGGAGAGUUUAUGGGCAUCACCAUUCUCCUCCUUGAUGAACUGGUGAUGAUUGUUUCUAACUUAUUUUUUAUCACUUUAACUCUGCUUUGCUUAUUCUUUGUUCAUAUAUGAAACGUGUCUUCAUCUUUUUGUUUUGGUUUUGUCUAUGGGUUUUUUUAUGAACAACUAAUGAUUUUUCUCUGUUUUUCUUACAGGAUUCUGUGAUCUACGGUUUCAUCCCUGCAAUCUCCAAACAAAACAGGAAAACUGAAUGAAUUAUGUUUUUAGCAACCGAAUCUAAAAGAAAUAAAAGACAUCUUACUUAACAAAUUAAAACCUUUUCUUUUGCAGAUUCCGACGACGACGAAGCACCCGAGGACCAACGACAAUGGAAUGAUGCGGACGAAGCCUAACUGAUGUAAGUAAAAUCCUCUUCAAUAAUGCAUCACACUAUUAUCGCUCCCCAAUCUCACAAACUUAAGCUCUAAUCAUGCCAGGGAUCCCACAAUGUUUCUAACUUAUUUUUUAUCACUUUAACUCUGCUUUGCUUAUUCUUUGUUCAUAUAUGAAACGUGUCUUCAUCUUUUUGUUUUGGUUUUGUCUAUGGGUUUUUUUAUGAACAACUAAUGAUUUUUUUCUGUUUUUCUUACAAGAUUCUGUGAUCUACAGUUUCAUCCCUGCAAUCUCCAAACAAAACAGGAAAACUGAAUGAAUUAUGUUUUUAGCAACCGAAUCUAAAAGAAAUAAAAGACAUCUUACUUAACAAAUUAAAACCUUUUCUUUUGCAGAUUCCGACGACGACGAAGCACCCGAGGACCAACGACAAUGGAACGAUGCGGACGAAGCCUAACUGAUGUAAGUAAAAUCCUCUUCAAUAAUGCAUCACACUAUUAUCGCUCCCCAAUCUCACAAACUUAAGCUCUAAUCAUGCCAGGGAUCCCACAAGUGAUGCUGUCCUGACGACGGAGAAAAAAAAAGAAAGAUAACCUAACGUUUUUUUUAUUUUCAGUUUUUAAGUUCAAAUCAUGUUUUAGACAUAGAGCCCAACAUAAUUUGAACCCAAACAUUUUAAACCCACAAUUACUUUUUCAUAAUGUAAAAACGUCAACCUUCGUUUAUGUUUUGUUAAACUAUUUUAAUCUUUAUGUUUUGUUAAACUAUUUCAUACAGGGGGCAGAUCUCCUUAGAAGGAGAGCCACUCGCCACGAUGCUUCCAGUUUCACCAUUCUUGAAACUCUUAUGAACCACAAAGCCAAUAUAAGAGCUCUGUUUCAAUCCAAUGGCUGGAUUUUGUCAGAUACCACCGCUAAGCCUGAAGAGGGAAGAGAAGUGGAGUGCUGCGUUUUGGAAGAUGGUUACUUGGAGUUUACAAGAUGAAGAUGGAACCCGUGACGAGGAAGACGAGGAGAAGUGUUACUUGGAAUAUCCUAACUUGAGGAUGUAGACAAUGUGUGAUCAUAGCGAUGAAGAUUAGUGUAGCUUUAAUAUAUGCUACUACGGUCCUUGAGCUCCCUACCAAGUACUAGCAAACAAUGUAUUUUGAAAAAAUAAAAUAUUUUGUAAUGCAAGUAGUUUGAAAUUUCGAGUAUUUAUUCAAACAAUGGAUAUAUACAGAGUUGAUAACUUGAUAUGGACCCCCAAAUAAGUUGGUGUUGCGCUGUCACAAUAUCUGUCUUUUUAAUUUCAUAUACCUGACGUAAGCUUCUUCAUCUUCUUCUCUUUCCAUUUUCGUUGUUCCACGCUCUCUAUUUCAUGUUUAGGCUUUUUUUACAUUCUCUAUAUUUUACCUUAAUUAUACUUUUUGAAUUUUCCUUCCGUUUUGGGAGAUGUCUCUAACUUGAGUUAAUCGUCAAAAGCUAGGAUCAAUUUUGUUGUCUUACUUCCGAUAAAUUUUAUUUUUUAAUUUGCAUAAAUCUUAAACAACACCAACAUCCCGUAAAUCAUACCACCCCACCGAUAUUCAAAGUAACCAGCUCCGCGUUUGUGCGGGGUCUCAGCACCUAGUUUUAGCUAAAGAUUGGGUCUUAGUAAGUAUAUUGGAGUUUUCUACCCAAAACCUACACAGCCAGAAUUUCGGAUUUGGCUCGACUAAAUGUUAGUAGGAAUGUAAUACAAAGAUUUAAAAAGAUAGAACGCGGACUACCUAGGCUUCUCGGCAAAUAUAUAUAUAUAUAUAUAUAUAUAUAUAUAUAUAUAUUUUUUUUGUGGGUUCUCCAGUACCGCUAAGGCGCUAAGGUUACUUUCUUUGCUCGGUCCACUGAAAAAUGUAUUCUCUUCCUAAACCUGUUUCCAGCCUUAGUUGAUUCUCUUUUGUUUUGGUUUUUGCUUAACCUAAUAAUUUUUCUUUUUUUGUAUUCUCCAGUGUUUAAUUUAGAAUAACUUUUUCUAGAUCAUAUAUUUCGUGAAAUCUUAUCUUGAUAAACCUACUACAUAUGUUAUAUUUGGAUGUCGUACGUUCCCUUUGCUAGAGAUGAGAAUCAAAGAGGCUUGGUGAUAUAUCAUUUUGAAAUAUAAAUUGAAGAUUUAUGAGGUAAUAGAAAUUGCAAUAAGGAUAAGGUUUGUGAGUUCAAAACAAAAUUGAAAGCAUUGAUGAAGAGAGGAUUUUCGGGAAAUCUGAAAAUAAGGGUUCCGGUUUUUGAUGUUCGAAAUGAUAAUCUAUUUUAUUAGGACUUCUCCAAUAGUUUACCUUUUUUUCCUUCAAAAUGAGUUCGUAUUUUGUUAUAAUAAUUUCUCUCAUUUUCUCCUUUCAAAAGAAUAUUUAAAUCUGUUAUAUUAUUACUACAUAAUAUUAGUUCCAAAAUGUUUAUUAUUUUAUAAAAAUUACAAAUUUUACCCAAAUAGAAUUUAUUUAAACUAAAUCUUCAUUAUAUAGUAUAUACAUAUAAGUUUAAUUUCUAAAAAAAAUAUAAUAAUUUAUACUCCUUCCGAUUUUAAAUGAUGUAUGUUUUAGAGUUUUCACACAAAUUAAGAAAACAUAUCAUUAAAUGUAUAUUUUGUGAUUAGUUGUUUUCCAUACUUUAUAGCCAAUCAAGAUUCAGUAAAUACAAUUAAUGUCUUCGAAGUUUACAAUUUACCAUUAUCAUAUGUAUUGAAAAUGUGAAAUAUGUAUAUUUUAGAAACAAUUUUUUUUUCUUCUACAACAUGGAUUAUAUCGAAAAGUGAUUUUAUGUAUCCGGAUAGUAAAAUUUUAGAUCCGGUUAUCAGAAUUCAGAUCUAUGCCUAUUAUAUAUUUUUAAAAUAUUAAAAUAUAAUUGUGUUUAUAUAUGUAUCAUAUAUAUAUUAUAUAUAUAAAAUAACGAAAAUUUACAAAAUAAUUUUAAAUGGUAACUAAAUUAUUAAUUUUUUAGUUUUUAGUUUAAGUUAAAAAUUUUGAAAUUUUUUGGUCAAGGGUGUGCGGUUCGAAUCACUUGGGGCGCCAAAUAAUUUCUUUCGCUUUAGGCACUACAAAGUACUGAUAAGUCCCUUUUGUUUUUUUUUUUUUUUUUUUUUUUUUUUUUUUUUUUUAUACAUUCCAUAGCCCAUAGUAGUGCUUCCAUCUCCGCAUGUAGAGGAGAAAGGCUAGCCCGAACAUUCCUCGCCCCCAGCAACCCAGCGAAGCCUUCUAAAGUGCUGUGCCAACCCUGGCCGGAGAAAGUAUCUUUCUCUUUCCAGGAACCAUCUGUGAAACACCAUCGUCCUGGAUUUAACAGUGAAGACCUAAUCUCUUCCUGUGGGACCAUUCUCUGUUCAUUCACUAGUUGGGCUUCAGCCCAAAGGGUUGAUUCUGUUUCCGCCAAUUUGAGCGUAUCCCUAGGAUCAAUAUCCAGAUUACUAAAAACCUUACUAUUCCUUCCUUUCCAGAUAUACCAUAGUAUCCAUGCGAACUGAUGAUCAUCUAACUGCGGAAAGACUCUCCAGAAAAGAUGAUCCAUAUUUGCAAAAAGGGAUUGUGUGGGAAAUGUAGUUGGAUUUGAUGGUAUCUUUGAGAGAGCCCAAACCUGAAGUGCUGGAGGACAUUCGAAAAACACAUGAUUUAUCGAUUCCUCCUCAGCUCCGCAUCUUGUACAACAUAUAUCUCCAUUUAUCCCUCUCGCUUGUAAAUUUUUCUUAACCGCUAUACACCCUGUCACCAACUGCCAGAGAAAAUGUUUAAGCUUUGGUGGACACCUGACUUUCCAGCAGAAUGAUUUCAAACCAUCGACCGUAGGUCCAAAAAAUGCUGGUGGUUUUGCUCUAUCCGGGUAAACUCGUUCUACCUGAUAUCCCGAUUUAACCGUGUAUUUCCCAUUUGUUGUGAAAUGCCAUCCAUCUUUGUCCUCCAACUGAUAUCUACUCAGUCGUAUACUCUCGAUAAUUUUCACAUCCUGUGGAUCCACUAGAGCCUGAAGUGCCUGCGAGUUCCAAAUUCCCAAAGUGGGGUCUAUAAGAGAAGCCACUGUGAGGUCAGGGUAAAGAUUGUGUUGGUUUUUAUUUGCUGGUCUCGGGCGAGUGGUUGGGAGCCAAGGAUCAUUCCAUACAGAGAUAGAGUUCAGAUUACUAAAGACCUUGCUAUUCCUUCCUUUCCAGAUAUACCAUAGUAUCCAUGCGAACUGAUGAUCAUCUAAUUGCGGAAAGACUCUCCAAAAAAGAUGAUCCAUAUUUGCAAAAAGGGAUUGUGUGGGAAAUAUAGUUGGAUUUGAUGGUAUCUUUGAGAGAGCCCAAACCUGAAGUGCUGGAGGACAUUCGAAAAACACAUGAUUUAUCGAUUCCUCCUCAGCUCCGCAUCUUGUACAACAUAUAUCGCCAGUUAUCCCUCUCGCUUGUAAAUUUUUCUUAACCGCUAUACACCCUGUCACCAACUGCCAGAGAAAAUGUUUAAGCUUUGGUGGACACCUGACUUUCCAGCAGAAUGAUUUCAAACCAUCGACCGUAGGUCCAAAAAAUGCUGGUGGUUUUGCUCUAUCCGGGUAAACUCGUUCUACCUGAUAUCCCGAUUUAACCGUGUAUUUCCCAUUUGUUGUGAAAUGCCAUCCAUCUUUGUCCUCCAACUGAUAUCUACUCAGUCGUAUACUCUCGAUAAUUUUCACAUCCUGUGGAUCCACUAGAGCCUGAAGUGCCUGCGAAUAAUUUUCACAUCCUGUGGGUCCACUAGGGCCUGAAGUGCCUGCGAGUUCCAAAUUCCCAAAGUGGGGUCUAUAAGAGAAGCCACUGUGAGGUCAGGGUAAAGAUUGUGUUGGUUUUUAUUUGCUGGUCUCGGGCGAGUGGUUGGGAGCCAAGGAUCAUUCCAUACAGAGAUAGAAGAUCCUGAUCCCACCCGUUUGAUUAGUCCUUUGCUAACCAGAGAUCUAGCUGAUGUAAUACUCCGCCAUCCAUAUGACGGAGAGUAUGAGCGAAUCGGUUCCAGGGGUGAGGCAUUCCUAAAAUAUCGACCUUUAAAAACUCGAGAAAAUAAAGUAUUUGGCUUCUCGAUCAAUCGCCAAAACUGUUUACUAAGCAUCGCUGUAUUGAAAUCAGUGAUGUCUUUAAACCCCAGUCCUCCUUUUCCUUGCUAACGCAUGCUUUAUCCCAAGAUUUCCAAUGCAUACCUCUCGUACUUCCCCCGGGGCUCCACCAAAAUUGGGCUACCGCACCUGUCAGUUUCUUUACGGUUGCCUUAGGCAAUCGAUAGCAAGACAUCACAUGAUUUGGUAAUGCCGUAAUCACCGAUUUAAUAAUCACCUCUUUUCCUCCUUUUGUAAAGAACUUAAAAGUCCAACCAUUAACCCGUUUGUUUAGUCUAUCCUGCACAAAACUAAAAACCUGAACCUUUGAACCCCCAAGAUUUUCUGGUAAUCCUAGAUAAGUUCCCAUUCCUCCAUGAUUCUGAAUGCCCAGGAUGUCUCUCAUUUCCUGUCUGUUGGACUCUUCAAUUUUAUGUCCAAAUUGGAUCGAAGACUUCUCAAAAUUAAUGAGUUGACCUGACACCAUCUCAUAUUCCUUUAAGAUUCUGAGAAUAGUUUGACAUUCCUCUCUCUGGGCUUUGCAAAAGAAAAGACUAUCAUCCGCAAACAGUAGAUGUGAAAUGGAAGGACAUGCUCGAGCUACCUUCAUUCCUGUCAAUUGUUUCCCAUCCUCCGCCUUUUUAAUAUUUGCAAUCAAAGCCUCAGUGCACAAAAUAAAUAAAUAAGGAGAUAACGGAUCUCCUUGCCGUAACCCUCUAUUCGGAAUAAUAAGGCCUCUUGGUUGUCCAUUUAGUAAAACCCGAUAUUGAACCGAUGAUAUGCAUUCCAUCAUUAAUUUAACCCAAUGAAGAUCAAAACCCAUUUUCUCUAGUAAAGCUUUAAUAAAGUCCCAUUCCACUCUAUCAUACGCUUUGCUCAUAUCCGUUUUAAUUGCCAUAUAUUUUCCUUGACAUGAUUUGUUAGUCCGUAAUCCAUGAAACAUCUCCUGAGCUAUAAGAAUAUUAUCAGUUAUCAACCUCCCUGCCACGAAUGCCGAUUGCGUUUCCGAAAUAAGAGACGGCAGACAAAGUUUCAGCCGCUGGCACAGAACCUUCGAGAUAAUUUUAUACCCGACAUUACAUAGACUAAUGGGUCUCAAUUCCGUCAUCCUAGUAGGCCUCUCCGUCUUUGGGAUCAUACAUAUAUUAGUAAUAUUUAACCGUGGAUCCAAGUCCCCAGACACCAAAAAAUUAUUUACCAUUGUUACCAAAUCAUUCUUAAUGAUAUGCCAGGAAUGCUGGAAAAAAAGAGCCGUCAUACCAUCCGGUCCUGGCGCCUUCUCUGGAUGCAUCAUAAACAAAGCCUCUUUUACCUCACUCUCAGUCGCCACUCUCAACAAUCGUUGAUUCAUCUGAGGAGUGAUACCCGUUGUUACCUCUGAGAGAAAACUAUCAAAUCCUGUCGGCGAAGUGGUACUAAACAGCUCUUCAAAAUAGUCAACAGCCACCUUUUCCACUCCAAUAUCUUCUGUAAUCCAGUUCCCCGCAGCAUCAUGUAAGCCAACAAUCCUAUUCCGAACUCGUCGUUGCUUAGUUAAGGCAUGAUAGAACUUGGUAUUUAGAUCCCCCGAAGAGUACCACAUAUUCCUACUUUUCUGGUGCCAAUAAUCUUCUUCAUCCUUAUAAGCUUCUUGUAACUUUCUGGAGACCUCCACAAUAUCCUCCUGUGACCUAGCAUUAUCUGUCUGAACCUCCUCGAGGGCCUUUUGUAAAUCGCUUAUUUUCUCCUUGCCAUAAGGUGGAUUAUUUUUCCGCCAUUUUGCAAUUUCAUGUCGACAAUUGCUAAUUUUUGCUACUAUAUCAUCCUCACUACGAAUCCUAUCAUCUGACCAACCCGUCGUAAUGGAUUCCAGAAGCCCCUCUUGCCCUACCCAUCUCUUAUCAAACCGAAAUUGCCCUUUUCUUCUGUAAACUUUAUCGUCUAGAUACGCUACCACUGGUCGAUGAUCGGAUGCCACCAAACCUAGAUAUUCUGUGUAAGAACAGGGAAAUAGAGUAUGCCACUCCUCAUUUGCUAGAGCGCGAUCUAACCGACACCUUACAGUCACAGCCCCUUUUCCUUUUCCUCUUCUCCCCUGCCACGACAUUUUGUUCCCUCUAGCCGGAAAUUCCAGAAGUCCAGUAUUCCUUAUCAUGUUAUUAAAGGGGAUAAAAGAAUCCGCACUUCUCAAAGCUCCUCCAUCUUUUUCAUGAUUUCCCGUAAUCUCGUUUAAAUCACCAAUAAUAAACCAGGGUUCAGAUCUGGCAAUACCAUACCUAGUUAAUCUUUCCCACACUUGUUCCCUCAUUUGUUGAACCGGAUCUCCAUAAACAAAUGUGAGAAACACCUUUUUCCCCAAAGCCGCCGCCUCCACAUCUAUCAUUCGAUUACUUGAAUAGAGUAUAUUAACUUGAUACUCAUUAUUAUAGAAAAGUGCUAGACCACCACUCCUUCCAUUUGGUUCCACUGUAACCAGAUUAUCAAAACCCGAAUGUAAUUGAAAUCUGUGUACAAAGUCAUACUCCUGUUUGGUCUCUGAUAAAAAAAGAAAAUCUGGUUUAUGUUUGUGCCAUAUCUCUCGCAGAUAACUCAUUGUCCACUUACUUCCCAUUCCUCUACAAUUCCAACUUAGUGCUCUCAUUAAAAAAAUAUUAAGGAUUCGCACCCGUGGUUUGAAUAAUCAGGGAUAAGAAAACCCUGAAUUGCCCAUAUACCAAAAAUAUUCCCAAAAAACUUAUAAGCUAUCCCAUAAGUUCCGGCGUCUUUGCUUUUCCAUCUUAAGAUUUUUAUAUAUAGAAGAACCUGCAUUAUUGUUUCAAACCAUAAAAAUGGAGCUUGACAAAUCAGCAGGGAUGAGCUAAACCCAAAGACCCUCAGCCACGGAACCACCAACAGUGCCCGAAGACCAAAACUACCAAAAACAGAUCGUGUGGAAGUCUCAUAUUUAUUUAUACACUUUUUAUUUGCAUUCGAGAGCCCCUCCAAACCAGUGUACAUAUCAUUUCUUUUCAAAACUUUAUAAAGCAAGGCUAUAUAUAAAAGAGUAGCCCACCUGGUGGCAUAGCAAACCACCCCAAUGAUUCCCCAUUCCUUGUUCAUUAUCAACUUUCUCUGCCAGUUUCCAAGACCCGAGAAUUCACUCAACCAAUAAGCCGCAAGAAACCACCAAUCCUUUCCCACAUUGCAAUGCAACGAUGACAAACCAUCUUCACCAAACCGAAUAAAUACGCAUAACCGUAACCAUAACAAAAUAGUUUUAUUCCAACGUUCGACAAAAACCAAAAGGAGACGCACAAAGACUUCUUCCCGAACCCCAUAAGAACCAAAUAAACCAAACAUGCUCAUAACAUAAGAUAUAAUAAAUAAAGAAACAACCACAAAUACCCAUACUCUUAGGAUUUUUAUUGCAGACUCAUGAUCCAUAAACUUAGAAUUUCAGAUUAGCUGGUUUCGGGUUUGAAGGACCCUUGUUGUCCAGUUGCUUACUGCUAUCUCCCUGACGAGAGCCUCCUUUUGCUACAGAUCUUUUACGCGGAGAGAGAAGCACACUCGCCAUCCUCAUCUUAUUACUCCCAGCAGUGCUAAUAGUAGGCUUGAAAAAGCGCUUACGAGAGCUUUGCCUUGUCCCCAUAUCCCCUGCCCCCGUGUCAUCGUUGAGAGCCCCAUCACCAUUACCCAACUCCUCUCCCUCCUGUGCGUGAGAAUGCACCAUCUGAUCCCCAAUGGCUUGCUCCGCUUCUUCCUCCGAGAGGGUCUGAAACUCAUCCUCUGCCUCCAUAUCCAUACCAUUCUUCAGCAGAGUAGCAUUGAUAGCAUCCAUCUCCAUGUCAAUAUCUUUCAUAACAUCAUCUGUUAAUACAUCCGCCUUCCCCACCAUUCCUUGCACCUCAAGUAGACCUUUUUCCACGUCUGUAGCCUCCAUAAACCCUUCCGUGGCCUCCGUCUGUGUCUUAGCAAGCUCUAAUUGGAACUCUGCAGACGCCAAAUUCACAUCCUCGGUUUCGGUACUCCUAAUCUCUCCUUCUUCUCGAGUUUCCUGAGGUAAAGACCUCUGACUUUGCUCCUCUCGUACCUGCCCUGAGGACACUUUAGUGUGUACCGUAUAAGCCCCGCGUUCCCCCCCUGGACCACCCCUCCUCACAUCUCCUCUGCGCGCAUUGUUGUAACGAGAGCUCUCUCUGUCUCCUCUGUAGUUUCCAUAAUGAUUGGGAGGUCUCCUAGAUCCUCGUUCCGCAACCUUCACCCAUUUUGACUCUGAUUCCUCAUACAUCUUGCCCUUGCCCUUCCCAUAGUACUCCCUACUAUCUCUUUCCUUAUUUGGUGGGCCCAUAUUACCAUUUAUAACCACCCCUUUAUAGCUUCGAGCUCCAUCUUCAUGGCGCUUCCCAUCAGACCAAGCCCCAGCGCCUUCUCUGUUUUCUCUUUUCCGCUCUGGACUGACCUUUAAAUUCUUUACAUCAAGUGGGCAUAGCUCGUCCUUAUGACAGAGACUACCACAAAGCUUGCAGAAACCAAAAAGUUUCUCAUAACGCAAUGAUACCGCCGCUUCCUCACCAUCAUAGAACUCCCCUCCUUUAAAGUCCACGGUGGUUUCAAAACACAGCUCCUUAAAAGCAUCCACCACCACUUGAACCCUAUUAUGAACCGUAUCCACCGCAACCACCCGUCCCAACGCGCCUCCAAUACUCUCAAAAGUAGGGACCGUCCUGAACUCAAGCGGAAUCCCAAUGACUUUGAUCCAGAACAUGAUCUCCGAAGGGAAAGACCUAGACUGCUUUGGUUGCCACUUCGCCAAGGAGAGCAUCCAGAAGUCAAAGUGAUAAGGUUGGUGCUUCAAGACCCCUUCAAGGUCCUCUUCAGUCUUGAAAUCGAACUGGAACUUGCCAAAGCCCAAAUCAGUCCCCGUGACCUUCUCCUCCAAUUUCCAGAUCUUUGGAAGGUUUGUGAACAAAGCAUUCAUCUCUUGUUCAUCCGGAUUCAUACACCUCCCAAUCAAAGUUUUGGAGUAGGUUUUGAUUAGGGCCGAGUUGUCAAAAUGCGCCACCGAAAUCUUCAACCGCUUGCGAGUGCCCUCGCCAUUCCUCAGGUCCUCACCGUGACUCAAUAACUGACUCUGUGUCAUGGUCAGAACAAAAAGAAACAAACUUCGUGUUUUAAAAUCAAUGAAUGAGACAAUGAGGAUGAUACAACAGAGAGCCCCUCCUACAAUCCUAUUAUACUUAUUCGAAUUUUCCAUAAACUCCGUGAGAAGAUAUUCCCCCAUAAACCCGUAUCGCCACAGAUUGAUUCUUGCCAAUUUCAAAUCCCAACAGGAUCGUAAAAGCCAUACCCCGAAGAACCCAAAUUGAAAAUCUUGCGGAUCAAUUUCCAUGAAGAAAGCAAUUAAUAUAACAGAAUCCGUGAGAUAACCUGUGUAGAUCCGUGAUUCGAUCUGAGAAUUGAUCUGAAUCCACCACCAUAGAAACCCAAUCCAAAGUUUCCUCAAACGUCCGAUAAUCCCUUUGUCGAUACCCAAAUCCCUACCCAAUGUAACCAAAAAAAAAUCCUGAUUCCCCGAAUCAGAGAUGUAAUCUUGCCAGAUCGUAGCAAGGCAAGCUCCAACUCCAAUACCCGGAUCCCAUCUUCGUGAAGGCAUCGGUGCCCUAGAUCGCCGUCUUCAUCGCAAGAGCGUUUUCUUGUACAUAAAUAUCCCUUUUGUUUUUUUUUGUUUAAUGUGGAACUAGGUGAUUUUCCCGUGCUUAUGCACAGACAUAAAUAUUUAUAAAAUAAAUAUAAUAUAAUAAUUAAUUGAUAUUUAUUUUUAAUUUUAAAUUAAUUUAUAAUUUGUAUGUAUAAUUUAUAUUAAUUAUAUCAUAUUACUUUAAUUAAAUAUUUAUCUAAUUGGUUUUGUUGUUUUUACAAUCAAUUUAGUUGUCAUUUGGACAUAUUGGAUUCUGUCUAUUUAUUUGAAUUCAACUAUAAUAUUUAUUUUUUGUAAAUAUAAUAUGUUUAUUGCUAAAAUUAUUUUUAGUUUUUUUAAUAUCUCUUAAAAUAUGCAGUAAAAAUGUGAUUGUAUUUUAUAAAUUAUAUUAUAAAUAAAAUUUAUUUAUUUUCCCGUAAUUGUAAGAUAUUAUAGUAAAUAAAAUAUAUGAAAAACAUAAAAAAACAUUUCAAUAAUAAUAAUAAUUUUUUUUUGUCAAUUUAACCUAUAUAAGUUUAUGUUACUUAAUUAUUUUGUGUAAUCAUCUAAGAAAAUAUAUAGAUAUAUAUAAAAAAUUCAAUUACUUUGAAAAUAUAUAUUUGUAUUGUGUAAAAUUAUGUUUUAAAAGAAAAAUAUUUCUUUUUCUAAUAUCAAGAUCAUUUGUGUGAACUUUUUUUUUAUGAAAUCACAUUAUAUACAAAUAUAUUUUUUCAUCUAAGAAGAUGUAGAUAAAAAAAGUAUUUUAUUACUUCAAAAGUAUAUUUUUUGUUACUUAAAGAUAGCUUUUAAAUGGAAUAUUGCUAUUUUGUGAACUUUCAUUUUUUUAUGAAAUCAUAUUAUAUAUACAUAUAUUUUUCGUUUUUAAAUUAUUUUAUAAACUUUAUAAAUGUUUUCUUUUUAUUUAUAUUAUUAUUUGGAAAAUUUUAAAAAGUAAAAAAUAAUAUUUAAGUGUACUUUUUUAUUUCAUUAGAGGUAUCAUAGCUAGUAAUCAACCACCGUGAGAGUUAACGUAAGUGCGACACCUAGAAAAGUGACUUCUCAAAUAAUAUUAUAGAGAUUUUCUCUUAUUCAUGUUUUCUUAACGUUAUAAAAUUAUUAUAUUACUAUAAUCUAUACAAUACUAAAAGAGAUAUAUGAGCUCCAUUGAACCUAUCCACGUAGGAUAAAAAAUUCAAGCCAAUUAGAUUGUCUUAAGAUGCCAUGUCAGCUUAGUAAAAAAAAUCUAACUUUACGUUAUUCCUUCUUCUUCUUUGACGCCUUUCCAGUGUCUCGCCAGAUCUGGGUUUCUCUCGCCAAACCUUCGGCUACCGUUCUCCCAAAAGCCUCCCCGUAACGCCUAAUUUAUGGUUACCUUACUCUCAUCUCCACUUCAAUACAUUCUCAGUUUCUCUGUUCCAAUUCUCUUUUUGAAGGCGUUCGAUUUCUCACCAAACUGAAGCUAAAAAAAAUGGGGAUUUCCCAAUUAUACAUUUCUGACUUGGAGAUUGGUCGUUUUGAGGACGUGGUGGUGACACGUCUUCUUCAAUUCUAGGAGUCGGUACUCUGAAGAAAGGAGGCGAGGUUAUUGCUUGACAAGAAGGUACUGAUAAUCUAAAUUUAUUUAUAAAAACUUGAUUUAAGGAACACUUCAUUCGGUCUGCCUAAAAUUCCCACUGUUUUCAUUUGCAAUCGACGUUGAUACAAGGUACUAUCACCGCACAUCAACUCUACAGUUUUAAAAAUCUACUGAGUGAAAGUGCUGUGUACGAGCUUAGUGUGUUCUAUGUUGCUAGAAGCAAUAAUCACUUCAAACUGUGCGCCUCUCUCCUGUCUGUAUUUGAUUUACCGAGCAUAACAGCUUUGUCGAGGUUGUCGACCCGACGGCUGAAAAAAAAUCAGGUUUUGCAAGUAUGAGCAGCUAAUGGCUCUUGCUAACACCAACGUAGAUUUGCCCGGUAUGUAUUUAAUCUUAAUCUUACAAUAUCCACUUCCAUUAUACUACCUCAAUUUCGGGUGUAUAUUACAAUUAUGUACAUUUCAGAUAUUUUUCGUCAGGAUAGGAGUAUACACACCAUCUACAAUGACGAAAACGAGUCGAUACAGCGUGUUAUGGUCACAAUCCAGCUGGACAGGUACGUAGCCCCUACGCAAGCACCAUUAAGUUUUAAGUUUUAAAAGUUUUAUUUAACUUGAUAGAUGUUUCUUACUGAUAAACCCCAUCAACCUCUGCAGGUCAACCACUGUGUGUCGUGUGUUUGAUAAGGUUGCAUGACAAGUUAGUACUCUUGGAUGUGAGACAAAAGGUCAUGAUUGCAACCAACAUAAAUCCCAAAUUAUUUGUCUGUGCAUAUGUGAUUUACAAUAACAUGAACGCAUCAGUUUUCAUGCUCUCUUAAUCUGUUUGUGCAGGUCGCUUAGUCCUAAACGUCACAUUAGGGACACAGUUCUACUUUUAUCAUGAAAGCCAAGCCACUCAGUGUUUCUUAAAAGAGUCUGUUAUUUCUUUCUACAAUUAGUUACUACUUCACGAUUAUUACGGCGUUAGUUCACACAUUAAACAUACCAGAUGCAGGCUCUGCAGAGCAGAGAGUGGUUCCUCUGGUAUAUCUUCCAAAAUAUGGUGGUGUUAAGAAACUUGAAUAUGUAAGACUCUCUAAACUUAAUAUCUACAUUCUGAAUUCUCCCCUACAGGUACGUUCAAUGAAUAAGGAUCACUGUUAUUAUUGCAUUUAGCUCAGUUCUCAUGUGUACUGUCACAACAUGACCAAUUUACAUGUGUUGUUAUUUGUUUGGUUGUCUCUCCUUUUUCAUACCGCGCACAAUUAACCAAUCAAAAUGUCUCUUACUUGAAAAUAAGAGACUUUUUUGCUGCAUACUUUCUGCAUUUGCUCAUUUAUCUAGGCUUCACAUUUGAAAAAAAUAUUGUCAGCAACUGUGGAGUUUCUAAUAUAGCACCACACAAGUGAUGAUAUGUCUGUAGCUGUUAAACUUUCUAUGGUCCCAAAUCCAUUGGUGAAAAGCAGUUGUUCGUAUCACACAAACGGGCCAGAUGAUGUUCCAAUUAUUGAAGGAUGUCCAGCCAGCACUGACCCAGAGCCUGCACAUACUGAUUCAGUCCUGACCUCCACCGAGACUCCCAUUAAUGAUGAAAAAGCCCCAGUUCAAAGUAAGCUCGAAAUACUGAUCACUCCAACUAUGGAGACUUGGAAUUUGCAAAAUUCAAUUCAAUUGUUUGUUUCAAAAUUUUAUGUUUUCUUCAAUAAUGUUGUAAUCCACAUACUUUUACUUAGCACCAAAGUGUUUUUAUCUACUUAUCUUUGGCACAAUACCAUUUAAAUAGUUGAGUUUGUUAUGAGCAUUAUUUAAUUUGAAUUAUUUUUAAAUUAGUGGACGUCAUCUACCUUAACCUAACAAAAUAAUCUCCUGAUGUUUUUGGGUACAUACUACAUGGCCUCAUUUAGGUUGGUAAACCCUCGCAUUGGCUGUAAUUAUUUUAGUGGGCUUAACCACUUCAGAUUGCUAAGAUAAGUUAUCGCAAUGUUUUUUUUUUUAAAAAAAAAAAGCUUAAGUCAUCGCAAUGUUUAUGCGUAGUAAAAAUUUAAUCUUUUAUUGGUUACCAAACUUAAAUCUAGAGAAAAUUAAAAAUUUAUGGAAAACCACAAUAAAAGUUGAUCACCAGACGUAAAUUUAGAGAAAAUUAAAAAAAACAUUAAUGGAAAACACAAUAAAAAUAGUUAGGGAAACAGAAACAGCAUAUAAACCAAAUACAAAAAGAAAUUUAACUACAAAUAAAUAAUAUAAUCCAAAACCACAAAUUUCAAGAAUAUAUAGUGCAAUUUCAUAAAAGUGGAUAAUAGAAUUAUUCAUAUGCGAUAUACUUUUUACAAGGUCAUUAUAACCAAGAUCAACAAAACUAAGCCCUUUCUCAAAAAAAAAACUAAACUAAAAUAAAAACAAUUAAUCUGAUAGAUUUUUUUUUUUUAAAUCAUGAAACUCAAGUUAAGUGAAAUUAAUAAGAUAUUGAUACAAAAUCAUAAUGAAAAUUUAAUAGUUAAUCAAAAUAAGAUUUUUAAAAAAUUAUAGUUAAAAAAAUUACAUGUUUAGAGAAUAAUAUAAUAAAAUAUAUGUGGUACAUUAUUUUUUAUAGCAAAUGGUACGGUCAUCUAAUAAAGGAAAGUAUAUAUGUCGUAUAACUUUGUUGUUGUACAAAAUAAUGUGGUCUAAUAAAUAAAUCUAUUAUUAAAUGUUUGUUAGAGAAAUUUUGGGUCACUUAUUGUUAAUUAAAUAUUAUGGUAAGACCAAAAAUAUUGUUAGUUAAAGAAAGAGUUCAAACAACUUUUUUAAGUAGAUUUAUUAAAACUCCUUCCUUUUUAAUAGUAUUGAUACAUAAUAUAAUCCAAAACCACAAAUUUCAAGAAUAUAUAGUGCAAUUUCAUAAAAGUGGAUAAUAGAAUUAUUCAUAUGCGAUGUACUUUUUACAAGGUCAUUAUAACCAAGAUCAACAAAACUAAGCCCUUUCUCAAAAAAAAAACUAAACUAAAAUAAAAACAAUUAAUCUGAUAGAUAUUUUUUUUUAAAUCAUGAAACUCAAGUUAAGUGAAAUUAAUAAGAUAUUGAUACAAAAUCAUAAUGAAAAUUUAAUAGUUAAUUCAAACAAGAUUUUUAAAAAAUUAUAGUUAAAAAAAUGGAACAAGACUGAAAGUAAUACAAUAAAUACAAGAACAAAAAUGAAUAAAUAUCAUUUUAUGUAUAAACAAGAGCCUUUAGAUUAUUCUAUCCAAAUAAAUGGAGAAUUAUUUUUAAAAAAAGAUGUUAAGAUUUCCGAAAUUUUUUUUAACCUAAAUCCACAACUGCUAUAAAAAUAAAGUAUAGAGUUAUACAAUCCUAAACAAAGGAUAUGAUAUAAAAAAAUAUUAAUCAACUUAUUGGAAAAUAAUUUUUUUUUCCGCGCGAAACGCGGACCAACCUAGGCAAACUACAUGAACACCUUUCUCAAAAAAAAAACUACCGGAACCAAAAGGCAUCCACAAAAAUUGAUCUCUUAUUCAUGUUACGAAAAGUAUAUAUACAUGAGCUUGUGAACCUAAGGAAAUAUUCAAACGUAUCCUACCAUACAAAAUAUAAUAUCUAUGAAUAUAGGAAACAUGUAAUAACUAUAGGUAUUUACACAAUACUCCUCAAAAGAAAGCAUCCAAUUCCCCUAGAAAAUAGUAUGAUUUAGGGUUUCUAGAUUUUUAACUUUUGUUUCUACAGAAUACGAUAGUCAGUUCGACGACUAGAUUUCGCACAAAGUCAAAAACCAAGACAGAGUCAAGCUUUUACGCAAAGCCUUCUUAAAAACAGUUCGAUCAAACAAACCCUAGAAUACACUCCUCCCAUUUAAAUCUUUUCUUCGUCUUUUCAGUCCAGUCGAACAGAGAACAGAUUUUUUCUUCCUUGAAGAAAGUUAAGAUGUCUAAAUCAGAAGACAUGUGGUGGGAAUCGGGAGAGUUGAGUAAGAGGGAAAACUGAAAAGAGAAGCACUUGAAGUUGGUAAUACAUGGCCGGUUGUGUAGGAAAGUGGCAGGCAUUUUCUCCCUAGGAAACAGCCGAGAGAACGCGCACCACCCCCACCACAGACCCAACCCUAAUAUUUUACAGAACUUAUUUAGUCUAUUCAUUUCCCCACUCGACAGGAGGAGCUAGCCAAAUCGUUUUAAAGGUCUAAACAUGUUCAUAUCAUUCCUCUUAAAAUCAUAUGUUGACUGUGUAAACCAUUGAUAUUGCUAUGCUAGCUUGGUUCUUUUUUUUUAUCUAGACAUCUAACAAUAAGAGAGUAAAUACAUUUUUCACUGGUUAUUCAGAUGUUUAAUCGUGCAAACAUGUUUGCCCUUUUUUUUUUUUUGUAGUUUACUUAUAGAGAUGGAGACGAAUAGUACUGUAAGCAAUACAAAGCAAGAUAAAUCUUCUCAAGGCUCCAAUCCUCGUAGUAACCGGAAACAAGAUUUGACGUGGAACUAUGUUAGUGAAGCUGUUGAUUCAAAGGGGAAGAAAGUAACGGCAUGUAACUUCUGCGGAAAGCAAUACGUUGGAAUCAGCAGCAUGAAACAACAUUUGGCUGGUCUGAAUCAAAGUAAAACUGCAUGCAAGGAAGUUUCUUCAGAGGUUCGAGAUUCUAUCGUAAAAUCCAUGAAAGAAAAUAACAAAGAGAAGACGAAGGAGAAAAUUGUUGUGGAUCUUGAGAUGACAGACUAUGAAGUAAAGGAUGGUCAAAGUUCUCAACAAUCUUGCACUUCCCAAAGUAGAAAAAGAAAGGUUAGUAUCCACUUAACAUGUGUACCUUGGAUACAAAGUUGCACUGCUUUUGUCUAGUUAACUACAUAGUAGUACAAGUGUUAUAGUAUGUUUGGUCUUGUUUUGGUACAAGAGUGUCUCAUCAUCGUUUACUUCAACUCUCUUUAGAAUCCUCACUCUCUUUUGUUCCUCACCCUCUCACUCUCUUUCGCUCCUCACAUCACACGCAGAGAGAAGCUACACCAGGAAAAGAAAAGAUGGCUGAAUCAGCAAAGCAACACAUUGAUCGCAUUCGCAGGACUAAGUUUUCUAUCGGUGGAGACGAGAAUCCGUUGACGGAAGAUCUUCAUCAGGCUGUGAAGAAUCUCUCAGCUGAGCUCUAUGCCAAGGAUGUUCACUUCCUCAUGGAGCUUAUCCAAGUAAGCAUUCUGCUGGAUGUAGAAACCAUGUUUCUUUUUUUUUUUUUUUUUUUUUGUCAAAGGAGUUAAAUGUUUCUUUGGCUUCCAGAACGCUGAGGAUAAUGAGUACCCGGAAGGUGUGGAUCCAUCUCUUGAAUUUGUGAUUACAUCUGAUGACAUCACAGCCACUGGAGCUCCAGCGACUCUCCUUAUCUUCAACAACGAGAAGGGCUUUUCAGACAAGAACAUAGAGUCCAUUUGCAGUGUUGGAAGGUCCACCAAGAAAGGCAACCGAAAACGCGGUUACAUUGGAGAGAAAGGUACCAUAAGACCUCAAAUACAAAACUCAACUUUCAAAAGACCCUUGUCCUUACAUAUGUGUGUUCUGUUUCAAUCUUUGGCAGGAAUUGGAUUCAAGAGUGUGUUUCUGAUUACUUCUCAGCCUUAUAUUUUCAGCAACGGGUAUCAGAUUAGAUUCAACGAGGCACCUUGCAGCCACUGCAGCCUUGGUUACAUUGUUCCCGAGUGGGUUGACCAACAUCCUUCUCUUGUCGACAUACAAAGGAUCUACGGUUCAGGUUCUUCUCUUCCGACCACAACCAUCAUCUUACCACUAAAGAGUGACAAAGUAGACCCGGUGAAAGAACAGCUCUCUAAUGUUCACCCUGAGGUUCUCUUGUUCCUUUCCAAGAUCAAGAACCUAUCUAUCAGAGAACACUGCCAAGAUCCUAACCUCAGCACAGUGAACUCCAUCGGUAUCAUAACCGAGACGGAUUUCAUGACGAGGAAGAGCAUUGACGCUGAGUCUUACACAAUCCAUCUCUCUGCUAGUGAAACAGACACAGAGAAGCAAUGCAGUUACUACAUGUGGAGACAAAAGUUCCCAGUGAAAAACGAGAACCGUGUUGAAAGAAGAACCGAAGUCCAAGAUUGGGUGAUAACUUUAGCCUUUCCAUUAGGAGAGCGUCUAAGCCGUGGAAACACCUCUCCUGGCAUCUAUGCCUUUCUUCCUACGGAGAUGAUAACAAACUUCCCAUUCAUCAUCCAAGCAGAUUUCAUCCUUGCGUCAUCAAGAGAAAUUAUACUACUUGAUGAUAUAUGGAACCAAGGGAUUCUCAGCUGUGUUCCGUUAGCUUUUGUGAACGCAUUCACCACCUUGGUGAAAAAGACCGAUGCUCCUAUCUCUAGCUUGCUGUCUACUUUUAGGUUCUUGCCUGUAACACAAUCUAGCUACGCUAAGCUAAACAUUGUUAGAGAUUCCAUCAGGGAGAGAAUCUGCGCUGAGGAGAUUGUGCCGAGCGUGUCACAUUUAGGACAGAAGUUCUUUCACAAACCAUGUGAAGUUGGUCGGCUCAUCCCUGCUUUUUCGGACAUCUUGGAGAAAGCGAGGAGAGAAGGCGCAGGGUUAAAGAACAUAUCAUCACAUGGAGUCUACAUUUUGGAUUCUUCUUUUGACAAAAAAGAGAAUGACUCCGUUCUAGACUUCUUGUCUUUGAGAGAAGUCAGCAACGAAUGGUACUCAAAAUGCAUUCAAGGGUGUGAUCUCGUGACAAGUGUGUCAGAAAGCACCUACGUGGAGAUCCUUCUCUUCGUAGCUCAGAACUGGGAGCCAAGAUUCAAGAACACAAACAUGGUUAAGGUUCCUCUUAUCAAGUACCACGUUCAGAAGGGAGCGAGUCUUCUUAGCAGCUUGGAAGAUCUCAGUCCUCGGACGUUAUGUCUCGUUGCAGAGAAGAAUCACUCGUGGUUACUCGAUUGGAACGGUGAGUUUAGAUGCAUGUCUGAUUAUGUUUUUCUGCCACAAGCAACAAAGAAAGCGUUGAAUGCAUCACGCUCUACUAAUAUGGAAGUAAUACGUAACUGGCUUGGAGAGAAGAUUACUUUGAUGGAUCUUAGUGUCUCUCUAUACGCACAAUGUCUCUUGCGUAGUCUUAAGAAAGACAACAGGCUUGUGGUGGCAUACGCACACUUUCUGCAUCACUCAAUCACCAAGGGGUUUCUAUCAGAUGAGGAGGCUAAGAAAUGUUGCGAAGAGAUGCCGCUUGUGGACAACUAUGGGAAUGUUAAGACGAGUACCUUCGGUGUUCUUGUUCCUGCUAGUGCAGGUAAAUGGGUUAGCUUAAUAACCGGGUCGAAUCCUUGGAGGCAGGACGGUUAUAUAGAGCUUUGGGAAGAGUAUAUGACGUCUGGUAUGUUCGCCGGUGUUCGGUCUAAACAGAGAGAGCUUCUUGGGUUCUUGAAAGAAUAUGCUAAAGCUGGAGAUGUACCUGAAGUAGCACCACCGAAUGCUGCUCUACCUGCCUUGUCUGGAGCUCUUCAGAAACAGAAUGUUUUUCUUCUUUUGGAGUGGAUUAAUAGUCAUAGAAACUCUCUUCCUCCAAAGUUUAUUGAUUCAGUUAAAGGAGGAAGCUGGCUGAGAACUAAGAUGAAUGGAAGCUAUGAUUAUCGCCCGCCUUGUCAGUCUUUUUACCAUACUGCAUCAUGGGGAGGCGUUCUGAAGAAGGGAUCAGUUCUUGUGGAUGUUCCACUUGUUGAUAGGAGCUUCUACGGUAAGAAGAUUGAGAGCUACACAGAGGAGCUGAAAACUGCUGGUGUUAUGUUUGAGUUUAGUGAAGCAUGUGCGUUUGUUGGUGACCACCUCAUGAGUUUAGCUGGGACCUCCUCGCUGUCAAGAGAGAAUGUGUUUUCUAUUCUUAAGUUCAUCAGAAACUUGAGAGAGAAGCUCCUCUCACCUGAUGAUUUCGUCACAUCCAUCAAAGGCCGCCCUUGGCUGAAGACAAGUUCAGGUGACAGAUCUCCAGAGGGAGCUGUUCUGUUCAGUGAAGAGUGGAAAGCUGCCUCUCUGAUAAGUGAGAUUCCGUUUGUUGAUGGAGACGUCUACGGUGAAUCUGAGAUCAGUGGGUUCAAGGAAGAGCUGAAGCUGCUAGGGGUUGUGGUUGAGUUUCCUAACAAUCACGGUCUCAUAGUCUCUCAUUUGAAGCCUGAAAAGCUGAACUAUCUUACAGCAGAUGCAAUGAUCUUACUACUUGAGUGCAUGCGUAACCUGACUUCUCAGCAUCUGGUUGAUUCCUUAAGAAGCUCUCAGUGCCUGAAGACAAAAGGAGGCUACAAGUCACCUGCUGAAUGUUUCAUAUCUGAUCCUGACCAGACUUUCUUUCUGACAGUCUUUGAUGAUGUCUUCCCUUUAGUCGAUGAUAGUUUCUAUGGAAGCAGAAUCAGUUCCUACAAAAAGGAGCUAGAGCAGAUUGGUGUUGUGGUUCAGGUUGAAGAAGCUGUGAAAGCGUUUGUGAGAACAUUCAAGCAGAAAGCUACCUCAACUUCUCUAACACGAGAGAACGCUUUGUCACUUCUGUCUUUCUACAAGAAAAUGAUGGGAAGUGAUCACAAGUUUCCUGAAGAAGUUAUGAAAAGCUACACAGAGUUACAAUGGCUGCAAACAACACUCGGCGACUUCCGCGCACCAAAGGAGUGCAUUCUCUUUUGUUCAGAGUGGGAGCCUCUCCGUCUUAUAGCCAAUCUCCCCUUUAUAGAUGAUACCACAAAGUGGUACGGCAAGAGUAUACACAGCUACAAGAAAGAGCUAAGGAGCUUAGGAGUCACUGUUGAGCUGAAACAAGGCGUGAACCAUUUGGUUAGCUCUUUAAGUCUCCCUGAUGAGUCUAGUAGCAUCACUCCUUCAAGUGUUCUGUCUCUUCUUGAGUGCGUCACGUUCUUGAUUGAGGAUGGUAGAAAACUCACUCAGGAGUUUCUAGACAAGGUCUCUGUCAGAUGGUUGAAGACACAAGCUGGUUACAACAGUCCUAAAGAGUGUCUUUGGUUUGAUAAAAGCUGGGAACUAGAGCCUUGUGAUGGUCCCUUCAUCGAUGAAAAGUAUUAUGGCUCUAAGCUUAAGUCUUUCAAGAGAGAGCUUAUUGAGGUUGGAGUUGUUGACGAUCCAGACAAAGCUAGCCAGUUGCUUGCUACACACGUUUAUACUCAUUCUGAUUCUGAUGCAGUUUCCCGGAUAUAUAGAUUUCUCAGUAAAACUGAAUGGAAACAAGAGAAAGACUCGUCGUCUUCUUCAGGCAGGAUUUGGAUUCCGAGAGAUGAGAAAUGGGCAGAUGUUUCUAGCUGCGUGGUCAGUGAUAAAGACAAGCUCUUUGGAUCACACCUAAACGUUCUUGAAAACCAUUACAAGAGUUAUGACCUUCUUGUCUUCUUCUCAUCUGCAUUUAACGUGAGAAUAACGCCAUCUGUUGAAGAUUACUGUGCUUUGUGGAAAGACUGGGAGAGAACAAAGGAAAGAUUGUCAAACCACGAGUGCUGUGCGUUCUGGAGCUUCCUUGUGCGACACGGUAUAUCUGAGGACUUACUCUCUGAAUCCUUCUCUCGUUUGCCAGUUAAGACAACAGAUAGCAGCAAUGAUGAAGAAGGAAUCUUGUUGUCUAGCAAAAGCGACGUGUUCAUAGCUGAUGACUUGCUCUUGAAGGAUCUUUUCAUUGACUCCCCUGUUUUUGUAUGGUACCCAACUCCAAGCAACCCUAGAUUGUCACAAACUAAGCUUAUGGAGCUUUACAGGAAAAUAGGAGUCAAAGACAUCUCUAAAUGCGUGGAGACUGCAGAAGCUAAGUUAACCGACCGAACCAAAGUCAAGAAGCAAGAGAAGAGUCUGAUCGGACCAGGGCUAGUGAGGCUGGUUCUAGGGUUUCUAUCUGAUCCAUCUCUUGAGAUAGAAGCUGAGGAACGUUCAAGAAUCAUAGAAAGUCUUGUUAGCCUCAGUGUUCUCCAAACUCCGGAGACGAUCUCAACGGAUUACACGCUGACACUACCGUCAAAGGGAGAGAAGCUGGUGGCAAAAGCUAAGAAGGUGAUGAGGUGGGAGAGAGAGGAAGGAGUUGUGUAUGCAGAGAAGAUGAAGAAAAGUUGCGGGAAAAGAAAGGUUUUGGAGCACGCCACGUGUUUCGCUGAGGUGAUUGCUAAGGGAGUGAUGAGUGGUAGAGAAGAUCUUAUUGAAAGGCUAUCAGAGCUAGUGAAGAUGGCUUACUUGGUUGAGUUUGACGAAGAGGCGUUAGAGUUUCUUAUGAAGUCCAAGAACCUUGAGGUCUAUGAAGAAGAUGAGAAGCUAAUCUCAGAUGCCUUCUCCCUCAAGUAAAACUAUUGUCAGAUGCUUUCUUGUUUGGUCCAAACUCCAAACAGUCAUUUUAAGAGCUUUUUUUCUUCAAAUUAAAACAUUUACUUUACACAAACUCGUUACAAUGAGGUAAACAAACCUGAAUGAAUCACAAUCUUGUUUGAUCUUCUUCAACCUUUUUAAAUAUAGUGUAAUUUGCUUAAACCGGACACUAUAACCGUCCUAUACCAGUACCGGUUCUGCUUCUAACUGUUGCUGCAUCAGAUAGUAAAUCUCUGGAAGCAUCAAUGCCUGAAGACUCAACAUCUCUGGUUCUUAAAUCUUCGUUAACACGGCCUGAUAACUCCCAGCUACCUCCUCUCCUUCCCCUGCUAGACUCUCUGGAAUGCAUAAUCCCACGUCCUUCGGUCUCUUCUGGUGGAAGCAUUCUGCUCAAAUCCCGCGAUGUAACCGAUGUCUCCAUGUCCUUGUCCAUGUCACCGAGCUCUUCAUCCACUGUCUCGUGCCACACCGGUUUUCUCCCCAUCUCUAUAUCCUGGGAAACUUUCUGCAAGCUCGGGCUCGACAUGGCUCCGUUAACUAUCCGUGGUGGGAUCACUGGCUCCUUCGAUACCUUUGCUCUGAAACUGUUCUUAGAUGAAGCAACGCUUGUGCAGAACACCUCCAUGAAGUUCCCAAGUAUCCCCUUGUUGAAAGGGUUCUCGUGUCUAUCAUAACGAUACCUAAAGUUUUCGUAAGUCGACUGCAAUAACAUGAAACAACAGUUAACAAGCAGCUUACUUUAUCCAACGGUCUCAGCGUGUGUAUAGUGAAGCAAGGGGGCUUACUUGAUUGGUGCUCAUUAGGUACAAGUGGAAACCAGUAAGGCCACCAACGAACCAGACGCAGAUGAAAGUGUAGAUUAUAAGCGCGAUGGAAGCAGGUGUCUUGAUUAGCGACUUCCAGAUGCUUAUCUUCUCACCAUCCAUUAUGCGUUUAACGUAUAUCCAGCAAAAGACAUGGACAUAAACGCAGAGAAGAGCCGAGCAUAAUAUAAACAUGAAGUAGAACCUGUAGUUUCUCUGCAUUUAAAAAAAAAGAAAACUGUUUAGUGUCUCUUGAAAUGAUUAAAAAAAAAAAGAGGAAACAAAGGAUUCAUUUACCAAUCCAAUGCAUUGACCAAGCCAAGGACAGUGGUGAUCAAAUUUCUCAACGCAGUUGUUGCAUAUGGAGCAGUGAGAAGCGCGGGGAGGUCUGUAAAGCAUGCACGUGUCACAGUAUUUGAUCUUCACAGUGAUUCCAUUAACAAUCAUGUCUUUUGUCCGAGGCAACCGGCUCUGAGUAGGAGUAUGAGCAAGGCGCGGUUCUCCACCAAUCUCAAUACCUUCAGGUUCAGGAGGAUAUAGAUUACGAGGUAUGAUUCCUGGGUCUCUCCCCGAGGUUACAAGAAGAAAUAUAAGAUCCUGUGGAGACACACAUAAAGAUGGAAACUUAUCAUCAAGAUGCAUGUGUGUAAGCAGUAGCAGAAGAGGGAAGAAACGUCGUUCAACUCACUAAUAAGUUGAGACCAAUGGCGACGGCUAAUACAGAUACUCCUCUGUGGUGAGGGAAGUCAUCAACAAAUUUUCUGCCGACGAAAACACAGAAGAUAAUGACAGGAGCUGUAAUCAAGAAGAUGGUGAUGAGUAUGGAUCGAGCAUCGGGCCCAAACACGAGCCUUCCUCCAAAGAAGAACACCUGGAGAAACAAAACACGAUUCAUUAAAGAUAAGUAAAAUAUCAACAGUGUUACAAUCUGAUAAAACUUAUAUGUAAACCAAAAGGGUAAGCCAAGUAGGAAUUCAAAUUCAAGAUUAAGAGCAAAAGGAUAACUUUUCUGGGAAAAGUCAAACAUAAAGUUGUAAACUUGCUCAAGAAUGAAGGGACCCAGAAGACAGAAAGAAGAUAGUGAUAAACUUCAGGGUAAGGAUUUGGAUUCAGAUCUAAGAUAAAGUCCUUAAAUCUGCUGACCAAGAAAGCAAAGAGAUAAAAGAGAAAAGCUCACGUUAUUGCCUUUCCAACCCUUAUACGUUCUGAUCAUCUCAUCUCCGCCGCCGCCGCCGCUUGAACUCGGAGCUCCCGGACGACGAUCUGACGGCUGCAACUCUAACAUCGGAAGCCAGAAAAAGUCUCCUUUUCUUUUUUGGGGGUUACAAAUGGCGUUUGUUUGUUUGAAAAAUGAAAUAAUUAUUGAGAGAGAAAUGAGAGGACUCUGCUUGGUCGUCCCUUAAGUCACCUUUCCCUUUUUACCAGUCAACUAAUUUCAAUCAAUCCCGUUUUAAUUAGUAGUAAUAUUACUUUAUUGCGAUGUUUUGCUUUUUCUUUGUCGGCUAAUGGAUUUGUUUUUGUUUCUGUUACAAAUUAACGGCUGUGUUAUAAUUUUUAUUAAAUCAUUGAGUAAAUACUAAUGGAUAAUUAUAUUCAGAUACAUCAAAAAUAUUCAUUUUGAUCUCUCAAUUUUAAAUGAUUUAACUAUUUAUUUUGUUUUUGUUUUUCUUUUUGUCGGCUAAUGUGAAUUAUUCAAGGCAGCUGACAUAAAAAUAAUAUUCACCUUGAUCUCUAAAUUUUAAAUAUUUAAUAUAUUAAAUAAUUAUUCCUAAAUCAUAUAGAUAGAUAAAAUAUUUACCUUUAAACUAUAAUUGUUUCAAAAAUUGUAAAUUGCAAGAUCGUUUCUAAUUAUAGUGAAAAUAAAUUGGAUAGUUGAAUCAAUCGUUCUUAAUUUUUUGUAAGCUACAAUGUGCAUGUGGAUUAGAUACUGAAUGGUAAACAUAAUUAUAGAACAACUUGCACCUGUCUACAAAGGUAUCUUUGUAUAUCGUAGUUGCUGAUUGAUUAAUUAUCACCACUUAUUAUGUCAACAUUUGGAUGCUUAUCAGACUAUGUAUGAUCUGUCAUCUUUCAUUUUAAUUUCUAUUGAAUUCACAUUUUAAUCCAAUACGUGUUGAAGAGUUCUCGUCAAUUUUGGUCUCUUUUGUUGGACCCUCUUCUUGUUGAGUUUUAACUAAAAACAAAACAAAACGAAAAGCUACUCUUUUGUACCAAUUCAAAAGAACAAAAAUGCAAUAUUGUGAAAAAGUAUAUUGUAUUUGUUUGAAAUAUCUCUUUCAAAUCAUGUGGGAUCAAAAUCUAUAUAUAAAACUAAAAUGACGCAGACAACCCAUUUCCCCUGUAUUUUCUCUGGUCUUCACGCUGGCCAUAAGCCAUGAACUUUCAUUAGCCGGCCUACUCGAAAAACAAUUCUUAAAGUAUUUUAAAAUUCUAUAGUUUACAAUUUCUCUAGUUUUUUUUUUACUCGAAGAUAUUAAAAGUAGAGUUUUGCAAUUUAUGGAAAAGCAAAAAAUUACACGGAGACAUACUUUUCUAUUGUCCGUUAACAUCUACACAUAUUUUAUACUUGUCAAAUAUUUUCAUUGAAUAAAUUGACCAAAAAUCUUUUCUAACUUAAACCAUAAAAAUUAUUUUGAUAUUAGUACUUACCCAUCGAAUUUUGAAAAGCGCAGACGGCUGAGUUUCUCUUUAACCUAUAACUAGAAUUUGAUCCGCGUCUUCGCACGGGUGCUUAAUUUAAUUUGUGUUUAACAUAAAAUCAUAAACCAUUGGUUUAAUAAAAAAAAUUUCAUACAUAUAGAAUAGUAUAUAUUAUUUAAUAAUAUAGAUGUUUGAUAAUAAUUUUUUUUAAUUUAUACAUAAUAUUAUAUUAUUUUUUAUAACUUAAUGCAAUUUGAUGUAAUUGUACUAUUCAUAUAUUGAUAUGUUGUUUUUUUGUGAAUUUAUUUUCAAAAGAAAAAACAUACCUAAAAUUUUAAUUUUUGCAUUAGUUUUCUAUGAAUUAUCUUUAAUUUUAUGAUAUUUUAUUUUCUUGAAAAUUGAACUCUCGAAUUUUUUAUAUUUGAUUAAACUAAAUAAAGUAAUGCUAUAUUUAAAAUUCUUUUAUAUAAUAUAUACUAUAUAUUUCAGUUGUGUUUUUAUUUUCACUAUGAAGAAACAACAACUAUUGUUAUUAAUUAAUUUAAAUUGAUUUUAAAUGUAGUUGCAGAAUCUGUAAAUAAAAAAAAUACAAAAAGGAAAUAUGUCAUUUAUUAUAAAUGCAAUGAUUAAAUAUGUAAAUGUUGUUUUUUUGUGAAUUUAUUUUCAAAAGAAAAAACAUACCUAAAAUUUGAUAUAAUAUUAUAUAAUAACUUUUAAUUCAUAUACUAUUUAAAAAAGAAAACUAUGAAAUUUUAAUAGUUCAAAUCAAAUUUUAAUUAUAAUUUUUUCUUAAUUAUAACAAAAUCUGUUGAGAAAAUUUAGAAAAUAUCACCAAAAUUUAAAUAUUUUUUUUUAUAAAAUAAUGUAUUUUUAUAUUUGAUUAAACUAAAUAAAUUAAUGAUAUAUUUAAAAUUCUUUUAUAUAAUAUAUACUAUAUAUUUCAGUUGUGUUUUUAUUUUCACUAUGAAGAAACAACAACUAUUGUUAUUAAUUAAUUUAAAUUGAUUUUAAAUGUAGUUGCAGAAUCUGUAAAUAAAAAAAAUACAAAAAGGAAAUAUGUCAUUUAUUAUAAAUGCAAUGAUUAAAUAUGUAAAUAAAAGAAAGUAAUAAAUCUGCUAUCUAUGUUUCCAAACAAUUAUCAUUUAUUUUUUUAUCCUUAUUUCCAAACAGUAUUAAAGGUAUCUAAUCUAUUAAUUUAGACUUCUAUUUUUAUCUACCAUUAGCAAGUCAUAGUAGGACCACCUAAAGAAAUAGUUAAUAAAACAUAUUUGAUUAUUUACAUUAAUAAUAAACCAACUAUAAAUUUGAAUUUUAUUUUUUAAUUAUAACAAAAUCUGUUGAGAAAGAAUCUAACAAAAUCUUACUUAAAAUUUAAAUAUUUUUAUAAAAUAACAUAUUUAUUAAUUUCGUAAUUAAUAAUAUAAUAUUGUUAUAAAUCAAUGUUAACUAAAAUUUUAUUAUAAAAAAAAAAAGAAAAUAAAAAUUAUAUACUUUUUUUAAUAAAUUAUAUAAUUAGAUUAUGUAUUAUAUAAAAAUAGAAGUUCUAUAAGAGUUAAAUAUGAUAAAAUUUUUAUUAAAUAGGUAAAUUAAAAAAGUUUAUUUUUUUAUUAUUUCAUUUAAAUAAGUUAUCACUCAUCAUUAAAAUGAGUUAAAAAUCGUAUACUAUAUAAUAUUUUUAUACAAAUAUAAAUUUAUUAAGAUAUUUUAAACUUUUAUAUCUACAACUAUAUAUUAUCUUUUAUUUAUUUUGAAACUCUUGACAAUAUUUUUUUAAAAUGUUUAUAUACAAUGAUAUAAUAUUAUAUAAUAACUUUUAAUUCAUAUACUAUUUAAAAAAGAAAACUAUGAAAUUUUAAUAGUUCAAAUCAAAUUUUAAUUAUAAUUUUUUCUUAAUUAUAACAAAAUCUGUUGAGAAAAUUUAGAAAAUAUCACCAAAAUUUAAAUAUUUUUUAUUAUAAAAUAAUGUAUUAAUAUAGUAACAAAAACAAAUUCAAAAUGUAAUCUUCCAAACUCAAAUAUAGUACUGUAAUUUUUCAAAGUUUACUUGACAAAAUAUAAAUUUUGAAAAUAAAUAUUCAAACUCGACAUGAUAAUAUUUCAAAUUUUACAAAAUAUUAAAUCACAGAUAAUAAAUAAUAACUUUUUGAAAUGCACCACGGAAAAAAACAAAUUAUAUAUGUUGUAAAAAUUAAAGCAACCGAAUAUUUUGAAAAUAUAAUUUAAAAAUAAAACUUAAUAUCAUAGCAUCCAAAAAAUAUCUUAUAUCAAUAAAAUUUAGUAAAAUAAUAUCAUAGAUGCUACUAUGUAUAAAAUUUAUUAAAAUAACAGGCUAUAAUAUUUAAACAAUUUUUUUUACUUAAAUUCUGUAAUAUACUAAAACAAUAUAUAUUAAAGUAUAUUUUUUUAAACGGAGCAGGCAAAUAUAAAUUAUCUUGAACAUAUUUAUUUUCUAUAAUAUAAAUUUUAAAUUUUUAAAAUGUAUUAUAACAAAAUGUAUAAAUUAAGGAAAAAAAAUAUUUUGAAGGAGGUUUUCUAUUUGAUUAUUUCAUAUUGUUAUUUUAUUGUAUCUAACUCAAAAAAUAUAUUAGUAAGAAAUAAGCAUUAAUAACAAAGUAAAAUGUAUUAAAAAUCACUAUAUAUGAAUAAUUCUGAAUAAAAAAUAUAAACAAUAAUAUUAUUGAGUUACAUAAUAUAUAAUACUAAAAUGAAAAUUUUAUAUUUAAAACAUUUGUAAUAAUAUCUAAUGCAUUUAUAAAAUAAAAAAAUAUCCGCACGAACGUGCGGGUUAAAAUCUAGUUUCAGUUUUAAUAAUAUAGAUUAACCAUCAAAUGACACAUUCACUCACUCUUUCUUUUCAGCCAAAAUUUGAAGGUCUCUAUCCCAUUGCAUAUGGUUACGCCGGUAAAGGCGGAAGCGGCAGUAGAGGAGGUGGAGGAUUGGUUACGGUGGUUGAGGUCAAGCUAGUGGUAGGGGCGGGCAGUCAUGGAGGUAGUGAAGGAUCAGGAGGUGGAGGGUUUUAUAGUGGUGGUUCUUACGGAAGUAGUGAAGGAGGAGGAGCUGGAGCUGGAUGAGGAGAUGAUAAAUCACGAGGAGAGGAGUAGACUCUUACAAGUCAUGGAUGGUUGCAGUUAUAAGGCGGCAGCUCAAAGGCCAUUUUUUUAACACUUGUUGCUUUGGUUGGGCGUGAAAAAAGGUCUUUUGACUUGGAUUGGGAGCUUAAGAACAUGAUGGUAAAAAACCGUCGACAACCUAAUGUGGUUAAUUUUAUUACUUUCAUCCAUGAGAUUUGUAAAGGUGUGAAGUUACAAGAGGCUAAUAAUUUUUUUGACGAGAUCAAAGCAAGAGACAUGGCUCCCAAUAAUGUCACUUAUAAGACUUUGAUUAAUGGGUAGCCAACUAUUCUAAACUCAGCACACCCUCUGCAGUUCAUCUCUUCUAUCAUCAAUUGAUAGUUUACGAAUAACUAAUUUUAAAAAACAAUAAUCCAUAAUCUCCAACACAGAUUUUAUAUCGUUUUUAAUAUGUAGCAUUACGUACAGACUAAUAUUUUCGCAAAUGACUUACUCUCUAUUAUUAUGUGUUUUGUGAAUAUUAAGAAAGUAUAUUAUAAUUUAAUUAUGAACGUUAUUUAUAUUAAUUAUUUUGAAUAAAUUUAAAAUAAUAUUAAUCAAUAAAUUUGAAUAACUUUUCGUUUAAAUCUAUUAAUAAUAAAUAAUAAAAAUAUUUAACCUAUUUUUUAAAAAUAUUUAUCUUUUUAAAUAGGAGAUAGUCCAGAGCAGAUGAAUUCAUUUUCUUGUAAUUAUCAAGAGCAUUAAGUUUAAUACUUUAAGGAAUUUUUCUUUCUCAAUGGUUGGUGCUCGAAAAGUUUGAUAGUGCUGUGAAGUUUGAUAGUCAAGCUUGGCAUCAGGUCUUCCCUUUUGAAACAAAUUAUAGGUGACUAGUUUUGUUUAUGUCGUAAUUUGUGGUUUUUGGUGUGUUCUUUUGGUUUGCUUUGUGGAUUUGAGACUUUGACGGUUUGAGAUUUUUGGAGUUUCUGUUUUCUAGUGUGCGGUGCAGGAUAGCUCUGAUGUGGGUACCUACUUCUUCUGUCAGAUUUGGUGAAGCGGGUUCAGGUGGGUUUGCGAUUAUUCUGUAUUUUUGGCUCUUUUUUCUUUGUUCAAUGGUCGUCUUUGUCGAAGGUCAUAUAAACUAUGGCUAGUGGUUAAGCUCUAGUUUGUAAAUAUUUUUUUGUUAAUUUAUGGAGUUUGAUGGUCUUGAGGCAGUAUUGUAUGGUGGCUUCUUAGUGUGUUGGGUUUGGGUCUCCAAACUUUACUCUAAGGACCGACAAACGUCUAAUCUUUUCCAUGUUUGUCUUUAGUAAGGUUUUGGUAUUCAAACCUUGGGUUUACUGAUGAAUGAUUGAGUGUGAAGCUUUGAUUUUGUGAUGUCGUGCCGUUCAUUGAGUUUAAAUCGAUAGGUUUCUUUGGAUCUCUGAUAAGGAAAUGUGGAGCUUUAUUUACCUCAAUUUUAUUUGAUCUAUGAAUAGUUCAAUUGUCAACCGUGUUCUCCGUCAGCUGCUCGAGAGGAAAUUUGUUUUCUCAUUUUUUUUUUUGUUCUUAAGUGGCAUUUACUUGUGGUUCUCUGUCGAAUCAUAUCUUGGACCUUUUUACACUACAAGAAAAAUGGGUUUUAAUAGCAUACCAGAAUAGCGUUUUUUCGAUUGUGCUAUGGUAGGUAUACUCGUGUUUUAAAGAUAGCGGUUGUAUAUUUCCAAACGUUAUGUUAUAGUUUCGAGUUGAAAAAUCAUAAUUUAAGCGUAUGUUUGAAAGAAGACGCUUAAUUAAUAUAGCAGAUUAAAAAAAAAAAAGUGUUAUGCUUGAUUACGCGGUAAUGACCGCGACACUUAGAAAUAAUUUGGCUCCUAAAACCCAAUUAGAAUCCAAAAUUAAUCCCAAAUUAGUAGGGUUUCGUUCUUCCCUCUCUCUCUUUGUUCUUCACUCUCCAUCGAACACUUUGCCUCCAUUUGCUCGAUAGACUCGACCUCAAUCUCUUUCAUUCGAAUUUUCAUUCUCAAUUCCUCAGCUCCAACGAUUACUCAACGUGGAUUAACUCUUAUUGAAAUCCCCUUUGAUUGAAAUCCUUUCCGAUUCCAUCGAAGGUGAACUCGGGUUUCAUCUCUUUUCUAUCCUAAUCGAUUGAAAAUCGAUUUAUCUCUUCUCUAUAACUGAUUUAGGGUUAUUGCAUGUUUAAUUGAAUCGGUUUUGCAUGCUCGUUUGCAGGAACCUUUAUUUUCCGACAGCUUUGGCUUAAGGUAUUUGUUCUUUUCAAUUUCUGGGUUUCUCUUUUACUUGUUCAUUUCUGUAAAAUCUUGUAUCUUACUUAACAACAUUGUCUUUUUUUGUAGGAGACUCUAAUUUAAAUCCGAAGAGAUUAUUUUAAGGUGAGAAAUCUCGUUCUGUUUUGCUGUUAAAUCCCUUAUUUUUUUGUUGUUCUGGCUUGAUAAAGUGAGACUCUUGUAUGUUCAUUUCGUCGGAGCUGUAUCAUGGAUAAAUCUUGGGUCUGGUUACCAAGGUAUUAACUUCACUUGUUCUUUUAAAAUUUUUUAAGUCUCAGUGUUUAGUUCUCACUUGUUUUAACCAUACAGGAAUAGCCUUGAGUAUGAGAAAGGAGCUAGUGAGUUCGUGUCUUCUUCAUCAAAACGUUUAGGUGAUCCAGAUGAAAUGUUCUGCCCUUGUUGAUUACUCAAUGUGGAUUAACUCUUAUUGAAAUCCCCUUUGAUUGAAAUCCUUUCUGAUUCCAUCGAAGGUGAACUCGGGUUUCAUCUCUUUUCUAUCCUAAUCGAUUGAAAAUCGAUUUAUCUCUUCUCUAUAACUGAUUUAGGGUUAUUGCAUGUUUAAUUGAAUCGGUUUUGCAUACUCGUUUGCAGGAACCUUUAUUUUCCGACAGCUUUGGCUUAAGGUAUUUGUUCUUUUCAAUUUCUGGGUUUCUCUUUUACUUGUUCAUUUCUGUAAAAUCUUGUAUCUUACUUAACAACAUUGUCUUCUUUUGUAGGAGACUCUAAUUUAAAUCCGAAGAGAUUUUUUUAAGGUGAGAAAUCCCGUUCUGUUUUACUGUUAAAUCCCUUAUUGUUUUGUUGUUCUGGCUUGAUAAAGUGAGACUCUUGUAUGUUCAUUUCGUCGGAGCUGUAUCAUGGAUAAAUCUUGGGUCUGGUUACCAAGGUAUUAACUUCACUUGUUCUUUUAAAAAUUUUUAAGUCUCAGUGUUUAGUUCUCACUUGUUUUAACCAUACAGGAAUAGCCUUGAGUAUGAGAAAGGAGCUAGUGAGUUCGUGUCUUCUUCAUCAAAACGUUUAGGUGAUCCAGAUGAAAUGUUCUGCCCUUGUGUUGAUUGUCGCAAUGUCUGCCACCAAUCUAGUGAGAAAGUUUUCGAGCACCUGGUGAUUAGAGGAAUGGAUGAGAAGUACAAGAGCUGUAAGUUUUGGUCUAAACACGGGGAGACAAGACCUGAUAAGUCAGCUAAUGUGAUCUGGUCUGAAAAUGAGGCUUACGACUUGUUCAGAGCAACCUUCAUGCGAAGUCAAGGCAGCGAAGGAUACGCAGAGGAGAAUGCUGGAGUGUUUGAGGGCACUGAUACACCAGAAGAAGUUGAGUUUAGAAAGAAGUUAAAGGAUGCAGAAACUCCGUUGUACCCAAACUGUCUGAAAUUUACAAAGGUUGCUGCAAUCAUGGGACUUUACAGGAUAAAGGUGAAGAGUGGGAUGUCUGAGAACUAUUUCGAUCAGCUUCUGUCCCUAGUUCAUGAUCUGCUUCCCAGUGAAAAUGUUCUACCUAAGUCUACAGAUGAGAUGAAGAAGUUUCUGAAACAGUUUGGUUUUGGGUAUGAUGUCAUCCACGUCUGCAAGAAUGACUGUAUUUUGUAUAGAAAAGAGUUUGAGGAUGCAGUCAGCUAUCCAAGAUGUAGUGAAUCAAGAUGGGAGAAGGAUAAUCAGACUGGUGAGGAGAAGAAAGGGAUUCCUGUUAAGGUGCUUAGGUAUUUUCCGAUUAAAGACAGGUUCAGGAGAAUGUUUAGAUCAAAGCGGUUGGCAGAGGACUUGUGUUGGCACUCAACUAAUGCUUCUGAAGAUGGAAUUAUGCGUCAUCCAGUAGAUUCAUUGACUUGGGCUCAGAUAAACAACAAAUGGCAAGAGUUCGCUGCUGAAGCAAGAAACCUAAGACUAGGAAUUUCAACAGAUGGCAUGAAUCCGUUCUCUAUCCAGAACACGAAGCAUAGCACAUGGCCUGUUCUAUUAGUCAACUACAAUAUGGCUCCGACAAAGUAUAUGAGGUCCGAGAACAUCAUGUUGAUAAUGUUGAUACCUUGUCCAACCGCACCUAGCAACAACAUUGAUGUAUAUCUACAGCCAUUGAUAGAGGACUUGCAUGAUUUGUGGACAGAAGGUAUGGAAGUUUAUGAUUCGUUUAAGAAGGAGAGUUUUACACUUAGAGCUAUGAUGAUGUGUGACUCGCAUAUGCAAUUUCUUCAACAGACUCUGCCAACGCAUUCUUGAUCCAGAGAUGCUACUUGCACUAGAAACAGAGAUUGUGGAGACAAUGUGCCAGCUAGAGAGAUUCUUCCCACCUGCAUUAUUUGAUAUCAUGUUUCACCUUCCACUGCAUCUGGCAAGAGAAGCACGCUUGGGUGGCCCUGUUCUCUUCAGGUGGAUGUACCUGUGGGAACCAAAAUUCGCACUGUCGAUUUCCGUUUAAAUAAGGAAACUAGGAAAACCCUAAUUUCCCAGAGGUCCCGGAUCUCUGCGAGAGCCAACGACAAGUGAUCGAAUAUAUGCGGAAAUCAUGAAAAGAUAACAAACGAGUUUAGAGAAAACAGUAGAUCUUAUUUCGAGUCCGCGUAAGAGCGUUGCGAUCAUUACAAGAGAAUACAAAGGCUUUGGCCGCAGGGGCCGUCAGCGAGUUACCUAGUUCUAGCAACAUAAAACCCUAAUCCUAGUUGAGUCGCAGCUCGAUAACAAAGGACGAAAAAGAUAUCUAAAAGGCUUAGAUUGAUUUCGGACUGAACCUUGUUAAAGGCUGCCUACGUACCCCUUUCGAGGAUCAAGCCGAACGUAGUUCAAUUGAUAGAGCUGGACAAGAGAUCGAACUGCCUGGGCGAGUUCGUCUAGUAAUUGAGUGCCAGUCAUAGAAACCNNNNNNNNNNNNNNNNNNNNNNNNNNNNNNNNNNNNNNNNNNNNNNNNNNNNNNNNNNNNNNNNNNNNNNNNNNNNNNNNNNNNNNNNNNNNNNNNNNNNNNNNNNNNNNNNNNNNNNNNNNNNNNNNNNNNNNNNNNNNNNNNNNNNNNNNNNNNNNNNNNNNNNNNNNNNNNNNNNNNNNNNNNNNNNNNNNNNNNNNNNNNNNNNNNNNNNNNNNNNNNNNNNNNNNNNNNNNNNNNNNNNNNNNNNNNNNNNNNNNNNNNNNNNNNNNNNNNNNNNNNNNNNNNNNNNNNNNNNNNNNNNNNNNNNNNNNNNNNNNNNNNNNNNNNNNNNNNNNNNNNNNNNNNNNNNNNNNNNNNNNNNNNNNNNNNNNNNNNNNNNNNNNNNNNNNNNNNNNNNNNNNNNNNNNNNNNNNNNNNNNNNNNNNNNNNNNNNNNNNNNNNNNNNNNNNNNNNNNNNNNNNNNNNNNNNNNNNNNNNNNNNNNNNNNNNNNNNNNNNNNNNNNNNNNNNNNNNNNNNNNNNNNNNNNNNNNNNNNNNNNNNNNNNNNNNNNNNNNNNNNNNNNNNNNNNNNNNNNNNNNNNNNNNNNNNNNNNNNNNNNNNNNNNNNNNNNNNNNNNNNNNNNNNNNNNNNNNNNNNNNNNNNNNNNNNNNNNNNNNNNNNNNNNNNNNNNNNNNNNNNNNNNNNNNNNNNNNNNNNNNNNNNNNNNNNNNNNNNNNNNNNNNNNNNNNNNNNNNNNNNNNNNNNNNNNNNNNNNNNNNNNNNNNNNNNNNNNNNNNNNNNNNNNNNNNNNNNNNNNNNNNNNNNNNNNNNNNNNNNNNNNNNNNNNNNNNNNNNNNNNNNNNNNNNNNNNNNNNNNNNNNNNNNNNNNNNNNNNNNNNNNNNNNNNNNNNNNNNNNNNNNNNNNNNNNNNNNNNNNNNNNNNNNNNNNNNNNNNNNNNNNNNNNNNNNNNNNNNNNNNNNNNNNNNNNNNNNNNNNNNNNNNNNNNNNNNNNNNNNNNNNNNNNNNNNNNNNNNNNNNNNNNNNNNNNNNNNNNNNNNNNNNNNNNNNNNNNNNNNNNNNNNNNNNNNNNNNNNNNNNNNNNNNNNNNNNNNNNNNNNNNNNNNNNNNNNNNNNNNNNNNNNNNNNNNNNNNNNNNNNNNNNNNNNNNNNNNNNNNNNNNNNNNNNNNNNNNNNNNNNNNNNNNNNNNNNNNNNNNNNNNNNNNNNNNNNNNNNNNNNNNNNNNNNNNNNNNNNNNNNNNNNNNNNNNNNNNNNNNNNNNNNNNNNNNNNNNNNNNNNNNNNNNNNNNNNNNNNNNNNNNNNNNNNNNNNNNNNNNNNNNNNNNNNNNNNNNNNNNNNNNNNNNNNNNNNNNNNNNNNNNNNNNNNNNNNNNNNNNNNNNNNNNNNNNNNNNNNNNNNNNNNNNNNNNNNNNNNNNNNNNNNNNNNNNNNNNNNNNNNNNNNNNNNNNNNNNNNNNNNNNNNNNNNNNNNNNNNNNNNNNNNNNNNNNNNNNNNNNNNNNNNNNNNNNNNNNNNNNNNNNNNNNNNNNNNNNNNNNNNNNNNNNNNNNNNNNNNNNNNNNNNNNNNNNNNNNNNNNNNNNNNNNNNNNNNNNNNNNNNNNNNNNNNNNNNNNNNNNNNNNNNNNNNNNNNNNNNNNNNNNNNNNNNNNNNNNNNNNNNNNNNNNNNNNNNNNNNNNNNNNNNNNNNNNNNNNNNNNNNNNNNNNNNNNNNNNNNNNNNNNNNNNNNNNNNNNNNNNNNNNNNNNNNNNNNNNNNNNNNNNNNNNNNNNNNNNNNNNNNNNNNNNNNNNNNNNNNNNNNNNNNNNNNNNNNNNNNNNNNNNNNNNNNNNNNNNNNNNNNNNNNNNNNNNNNNNNNNNNNNNNNNNNNNNNNNNNNNNNNNNNNNNUUUAUAACGAGGCUUUCCACAAAAUUUGCAUGUAACCCGCUGUUCAUCCGCCCUCCAAUAAAUCAUGCAGUUGUCGCUGCAUACAUCUAUUAUCUGAUACGAUAAACCAAGACCAGCUACGAGUUUCUGAACCUCGUAGUAUGAACCGGGAGCUACAUUAUCCUCGGGUAGAAUACCUUUUACAAAAUCAGCAAUCGCAUCCACGCAGUCUUCAGCCAAAUUAUAAUCUGUUUUAAUGCCCAUCAAUCUUGUAGCAGAUGAUAAAGCUGAAUGACCAUUUCUGCAACCUUCGUACAAUGGUUGCUUUCCAGCAUCCAACAUAUCAUAAAAUCUCCUAGCUUCUGCAUUGGGUAAAUCUUCCCCUCUAAAAUGAUCAUUUACCAUCUGCUCAGUACCUACACCAUAAUCUACAUCCGUUCUAAUUGGUUCUUCUAAUCUAACCGCUGGCUGAGGUUCGCUAGUACUACCAUGUUCAUAAUCAGUUUCCCCAUGAUGAUACCAAAUUUUGUAACUUCGUGUAAACCCACUCAAAUAUAGAUGAGUCCAAACAUCCCACUCUUUAAUAACCUUUCUAUUUUUACAAUUAGAGCAAGGACAUCUUAACUUACCUGUUUUUGCUUCCGGUUGUCGGUGAACUAACCCCAUGAAUUCGGUUAUACCUCGUUGGUAUUCUUCCGUAAGCAAUCUCGUGUUCGGAUCCAAAUGAGGUCGAUCGAUCCAAGAACGAAAAUAAUUUGAAGAAGACAUAUUUUUUAUGAAUCAAAUUCGUGUGUAAAUAGAGUAAGAGGGAGGAUGAAGAUAUGGAGUGAAUGAAGAGGAAGAGGAGUGCUUGUAUAUAUAGAUUAAAUCCUGCCGACAUACCGAGGAAAUUCCGACGGAAUUCCGACGGAAAAGGCUAGUUCGUCGGAAUUUCCUCGGAAUUUUGUAAAAUCCCCCAACGGCACUCCAACGGCUAUAAUAUUUCCUCGGAAUUCAUCGGUUUUUUCCGAGGAACACAUUGUUCCUCGGAAUUUCCUCGGAAUAUUCCGACGGACUGAGGUUUCCUCGGAAUUCCGUCGGUAUAUUCCGAGAAAAUUCCGAGGAACCCCAAUUUUGUGUUUCCUCGGAAUUUCCUCGGAAAUUCCUCGGUAUAUUCCGAGGAUUUCAUUUUCCGUCGGAAUGUCCGUCAGAAUACCGCUGUUUUCUUGUAGUGACACUUAUAUAGAUCUAAUGACUCAGGUAGAUAAAUUUGAUAUACGUUGCCUUGGCUGCUCUCUUCAAAUGCAGUUUCGGUAAACUCGAUUUAAAUAUAUACAAACUUAGACAUUCUACACAUUCAAUCACUCAGACCCCUCUCCACCUCACAUUUCAAACUACGCUUGUACUUAUCCACCACAACACAAGUCAUAUGGUUUUACCUUCUUUUUUUUGAAUUAUACAGAGGUAUCCUGGCUCCACAGAAGUGAUCCAAACUAGUCACGUGUUGCCACGUGUCGGUUCUCUGUCCCUAGCGAUGCCGAAAUGUUAAUUCCCCAGUGGUCGGGAUUCGAACCCAGGUGGCAGUACUCACAGCUGUAAGCCUUUUACCACUAGAGCUAGAAGCCCCGGUUAAAAAAGAUGGUUUCACCUCUUUGCCGGGAACCCAAACAUUGUAAAUAGUCAUUCCCACCGUGAAUUGAACCCGGGUGGCGAUAGUUACAAUUGUAACCCCUUUACCACUAGAACAACUCAACAUUGGUAAAUAUGGUUUUACCUUCAUCAACAAUAAAUGAAAGUUUUAUUUUAAAACUAUAGCAACCCAAGCAUUUGUCAACAUCCCCGCGCAAGCCCCUAGUGUUAGUAAAGAGUAGAGAGUUCUAAUAGCAUUUCCAAUCAUAAUUUUAAACCUCUAGUGUCACUUGCGAACCGGGAGAGACUGACAAAUCUUGAUAAUGAUAACCUUAUUAUUCAUUUUUCUAUUGAAUAAUUAGUGAUUUUGUAUACGUAAAAUGAAACCCAUCAAAUACAAAACUGAACCCUGGUUUAAAAUCUCAAAUUCUAGAGAAGACAAAAAUCCAAUACCCAAUAAAAAUAAAAAUAAAAAGACAAUUAAGCAGGGGUGAAUUAGCUGAAUAACAAUAAUGAAGACAAAAAUUAACAAAAUAGUCAUGUAAAGGUCUAGCUAGGUGAGGGACAUGGUCGGUCCUGAGAUAUUGAAGGUCCAAUACAACAUACAAAACCGAGACCCUUAACUAUAUAUAAAAAAAUUUCUUGAUAAAAAAUUAAUUUAUAAUAAAAAAGUUUACAACAACUUCAAAACUAUUAAAAUUUGAUAUUUUUUGUAAAAUAACACUCUAUAAUUUGUUUUCUGAAAAUUAUCAAUCAAACUUUUAUAAUCAAGGUUUUCUGAUAAUAUUUUUCUUAGUUGAUAACAUAGCCAAACCAUUAAAUAUGUUUUGUAAUAUAGUUAAUCGCAAGUAAUAUUUUUACAAUUGCAGUAUUGAGAAGUUUCUUUUGGUUGGAGCAUCUGAAACCGAGAUUGUAAACAUUAGACCAUCUAUAUAUUUUGAUAACUCUUUUUGGUAUUUUGGUCUUGUAACUCGUACUAGGAGUUAGUAGGAAAAGAGCGAACACAAUUGCCUGUAAAAAAAGAAUAAUUUAGUCUGAAAGAUAAUUAUUCUUAAUCAGUUAUGUUUAUUAGUUAUGUUCUUUUUAAUCUAUUCAUAUUAAAUAACAUAAAAAGAUAUGUAGGAUUUAAUUGUGUUUGUAUAUAAAAGAUGUCUCCUCACUUUUUUUUAACUUGUGUACAGUACACAUUGAUCCAUUUAAGUAACAACAAUAAAAAAAAUAUACCUCAUUUUUUUUAUGAAUCAUGGGCCCCAUACGAUUGUUUCACGUGUAUGGGGUCAAGCCCCGGCUUGGUGAGGGAUGUGAUAUUUUGUCACAAAACUAGACGAUAUAUUCCUAUUUCGUGCCCGUAAUGCACAUGCGACACCCAUAACGUAUGAGUUUGUGAUCGUGGGCAUUUUAUUUUACUUAUUUUUUUGUUAAACGGUUUUCAAUUAAUAAAUUAACCGAUUACAGAAAGCUAGAAGCAUCAGUACAAUAACAUUAGAAAAGAAAAGGGAGAAAAAUCAAAGGAAGCUGAUAGAGAACAGAGUAAGGGAAACAGAAAGCAAUUAUCAUGCGGAUCAAACCAGAAAUUAGCCAGAAGAGAACCACGCGAGAAACCUUUUGCAGUCAUCGCUUAUUAGAUCUAGAGAUCAAGCUCCACUGAUAAAGCAAAGAAGAAGAAGAUGAAAGUUUGUUAUGAUUAAAUUGGUAAAUUUUGUUACAAUAUGGUUAUGUAUUUAUACUAUCUAAUAUCGGUAUCAGAUUUAUUCAAUCAUAUCACAAUACCCUUAAAGUUUUAUUCUCUGCUGUUUUCGUUAGGUGUUUAAGCAUAAUGUCUCAAGGUCAACUUUUGGAGAGGAAAGGUGCGGGGAUGGUUUGCAAACCAUUGAGGGGUUCAGUGCCUCAUUUUGAUAAUUCCGAGCUUAUCAAGGUGUAUGCCAAAACAUUGAUUGGCAGAUGUAUGAACCCCAAGAAGCAAGAUGUGAAAGCCUUGAUCAUCAUGCUGCCAAAAAUUUGGAAAAUGGAGGAGAGGAUUGUCGGAGCUGAUCUUGGACUUGGGAGGUUCCAAUUCGAUUUUGAUCCAGAGGAGGAUAUUGAAGAGGUUUUCAGGAUGCAGCCUUAUCACUUUGACUAUUGGAUGAUCUCGCUGGUCCAUUGGCAGCCGGUGAGGGAGAAGAGUAAUGAUGUGCCCAAGUCCAUGGACCAGACCGAUCAGAACGUUCCAGACGUCCCAGUUGAGGUUCAUCCUACCGAUCAGAUCAGACAGAUUGACCGGGCUGUGUAUCGGCUCGACCCGCGAAUGUCUGGAUUGGAGCUUCGUCCAGAUACUCGACCAGAUGCUCGAACUGGCCGAACUGAAGCCCGUCUCUCCCAGCCAACUCGACAAGCCAAGACUGAUGGUCAAGUCAGAACCAAUUUAGCUCGAGCCAAUUCCGAUUCAGACCAUGGCUUCUCUCUUUUGGCUCGAUUGGCUCGUACCGCAUGUACCGACGACCGUGCUGAUGAUCUUUCUACCUUGUUCGAUCCGAUCAUGGACUUUUCCUUUGGAUAUUUUUCUAAGGCAAGGAUCCUUAAGCUAUCAGAAGACUUUGGCUUUGUUGGAACGCAACUUGUCCGAUCAGAACGUCCCGCAGCCCUUGCUGAUCGUCCCGCCUAUGUGCUGAUCCUUACCGCUUUGGACUUAGCCGGUUCAGAUGCAUCUGGACAGAAGCCAAACGGUCAGUUUGACUAGUUUUCUCUCUUUAUUUCCGUGUAUUGACUAGAUCUUGAUCUAGAUCUACUUUUCUAUUUAAUGCCUAGAUCUACAAAACUCUAUAAGUAUGUAAACUCUUCAUUGGGAAUAAUUAAUCGAUUUUUGCAUAAACCUUUUGAGUUAAACUCUUUGUUCUUUGUCUAGAACUUGUCUUGUUUCUUGGUGAGUCAUAUCCAAGCAAACACCUCUCUAAAUCGUUGGUCUUGUGAGCCAUAUCAAGCAACGGUUCGAGAUUCUUCUUUUGGUGGACUUGUGAGUCAUAUCAAGCACCAUCUGAAGUUGGGAAUAUCGAAGGCCAAUCCGCAUCCUUCGUGAGACCCUUCAAUCCAUAUAGUUCUCCAUCUGGAGUUCAUAUCCAAAUCUGAUCUAUUAGAGUGAGCUGAUCUUAGGGUCCUUCAAGUGGUAUCAGAGCCGCUUGUUUGGUAUCUUCUAAAUCAUUCAUCUUUCUCAUCUUCUAUUUCUAAAUCAUAAACACUUCUUCUUCUAUCUAUCUUGAAUCCGGGCCCCUCAUUACCAUCCUUUACAUAUAUAAAAAAAAAAAAAAAAAAAGAAAGAUCGAUCUAUAACAAAAAAAGGAAUUCGAAAAGAUUUCAUUUGGGGGAUUGGUGGUGGAAGAGAAAGCCUGCUGGCUGAGGAGAAAUCCACCCUUUGAAGUGGUUAAAACGGAUUCCCAAAACCAAAAUCUGUUAUCUUUCUAUCUUGAGAAAAUUCCCUUUGUGUUCGCUUCGAUUUGUCCAUUGGGAUUCUUAGAUCUGUUCUUCUUAGAACCUUGAGUGGAAACUUGUUUGUGUGACCAUCCAAAUUCUGAGAUAAACACGUGAGUGGGUGAGGAUCAAACACUUGAGAGUUUGAGGAUUUUUAUCUAACGUUUUGUGUUUAAGAAAUUUCAGGAACCAUGAGUAGUGAUGAUGAACGGAACCGUCCCGGAAACUCAGUUGCUGGAUUAUCUAACCUUCAAAUACGUGCCUUGAAUGAUUCUAUGUCUAACAUGUUGAACGCAUGUUUAGAUCAGAUCCACCAGAGGCUUGAUGAGAUUCAGGCCAGCCAAGCUCCUUCUAUAGCCGGAGCAAGAAGAGACCGUCCGCGUAGGAACACUGGGUCUGACGAUGAGAUCCAAGAGGAGGAUGAUCAAGAGGACGAGGCCAGAUCAGCCUACCGUCCAAGAAGAGGUCCUAGAACCCGAGAUCCAGGUGAUGUCAAUCCUUUUGCUAGAAAUGAACGUACUAAUGAUAGAUUAAGUGGAUUGAAACUAAAAAUCCCAUCUUUUGAGGGUAAAAAUGAUCCUAAUGUUUUUCUUGAAUGGGAAAGAAAAAUUGAACAUGUCUUUAAUUGUCAAAACUUUUCUGAACUUAAGAAAGUUAGACUAGCUGUUACUGAAUUCUCUGGCUAUGCUAUUAAUUGGUAUGAUCAAGUUGUGACCCAUAGGAGGAGAACAGGUGAGAGACCGAUUGAGACAUGGGAUGAGUUUUCCAUGCUGAUGAGGAGACGAUUUGUUCCUGCUCAUUAUCACCGAGACCUCCAUCAGAAACUCAGACGCUUGCUUCAAGGCACUAAGUCCAUGGAAGACUACCACCAGGAGAUGGAAACUUUGAUGAUCAAGGCCGAUGUAGACGAGCCCAUGGACGCCACUAUGGCUAGGUUCCUCUCUGGCCUUAACCGAGACAUCCAAGACCGCAUGGAGCUUCAAGAGUAUGGUAGUGUGGAACAGAUGCUACACAAGGCCAUCUUGAUCGAACAACAAGUUAAGAGGAAGAGUUUCUCAAAGCCUGCCAUUACCUCUAAACCGGCCUACUCUUCUAAACCGGCUUUUUCUCCUAAGCCAAGCUACCAAGACAAAGGUAAGUCUUCUUCCACAACACAUAAUGCUUUUAAAACUGAUGUCCCUGCUCGUGAUGACAAAGGAAAGGCAGUUGAUACUUCUGGCCGAGCAAGAGACAUUAGGUGUUUCAAAUGUCAAGGUCUAGGACAUUUUGCCAAAAACUGUCCCAACCAACGAGUGAUGAUUCUCAUGGUGAAUGGAGAAGUUGAAUCUGAGGAUGAACAGGAGGACAAGGAGGAUCUUGGACCAAUCUUUGAUGAUGAGGACGAGUCCUUUGGAUAUCCGCAUCAAGGGCCACUACUUGUUGCUAGGAAAGGCAUGAUCGAGUCUAUCUUCGAUGAGACGGACGGCCGCUUAGUCGAUGGUUCCGAUCCAGCCUUUGAUGAUGAGUCCGAUCCGAUCUAUGAUGAGGAGGCUUACUUCGACUAUCCAGCUCAUGGUCCUCUACUUGUAACAAGAAGAUCUCUGAGUGUCCAGCCCAAAACCAAUGAAAAAGAAAAAAGGGAGAAUCUCUUUCAUUCUCGUAGUUUAGUUUCUGAAAAGGUUUGUUCUUUGAUUAUUGAUGGUGGGAGUUGUACUAAUGUUGCUAGUGACACUCUUAUCAGGAAACUAGGACUUGCAACUCGGCCUCUCUCUCAUCCUUUCAGGUUGGAAUGGCUAAACGAGGCUGGAGAACAGUAUGUGAAAGAGCAAGUCACUGUCCAUAUUACCAUUGGCCGAUAUGAGGACGAGGUCGUUUGCAACGUUCUUCCUAUGGACGCAUGCCACAUUCUCUUGGGCCGGCCAUGGCAAUUUGAUAAGAGAGCCGUGCAUGAUGGCUGUUUGAACCGAUACUGUCGAUAAACUAGUAAAGAGAAAGGACGAGUUCUCGUCGGUGGGUCAAGACAAAGACGUGUUUUAUUAGAUCAAUGAGUCGAAACAGUGUUACAAAACGGGGAGAGACCAAAGGAAUUAGUCCGGCGAAAGCUGGUUCGUCGGACCGUACAAGUCGGCGAGAAGUAAGAUAAGAAACCCUAAAUCUAGCCGAAAGUGAGUGUAAUAGUUUGCGGAUCCCCUCCUUGUUGCCUUUUCUCCUCCUUUUAUAGAAACAUGCUCGUUAACCUAAGGUGCUCUGUCCUUACAGGCCUCCUCGAGUGGUUGGGCCGAGGUGUCGGGCCGCUGACUCGAGUCAUCGAGCCGACGACUUUCGGUUGGUCGUUUCACCGAUCAAAAGCAGUCUAAAGCCGAGUCGACCACCGGCUCGCAAGUUGACGAGCCGACUUUCUUUGUUGUGAUCAUGUGUCUGGAUAAUUGUCUUGUGGGCCUUUAGGGAGGGGCUAAGCCCAUACCCAACAGUAAGUCCCCCCAGUUCGCUGGUGAGUAGCGUAGCCGACUCAGCGAAUUUGGAAGUAGGGUUUGCAAGACAAUCGUUCCAGGUUUAUGAUCUCACUUGAUUCCUCGACUGUGUGAGCAGCUCGUUUAUUCUCACUCCGUGAUUUGACUGAUUCGAUUUGGACCAGCGGUUUCUUCCGGUUUUGAUUUCGACUGUUGGUCUCGAUUCAAACCGGUCUUGGUUUUCCUCGAGAAGUCGAAACGUCGCGAGUCGUGGUGAGCUUCACGCGCCUAAAUGGGCCGAUCUAGGCCCAUCUAGGCCUAAUGAUGACGCCUCGGGGUGUGAUGCGCUCCUUCCCUUAUAAAUACCCCCCUCGCAUCUCAUUUUCUCCACUCUUCAUCCGGUUCAGGUACUUUUUCUCUCUUGCUUUCCGCUUCUCUCUCUAACGUUGUAGUCUUAGUCCUUUGAGAAUGUCGUCGGGCGGUAGCGGUAGGCUUUCCAGGGCACAGAAAGGGAAGGCUGUGGCGAGAGCGACCGAAUCGAGUCCUGCUAGUGACGUCGAGUUAAACUCUCCCUCUGACUUCGAGAUGAUUCAUCGUGAAGCCAUGAUGGAUACGGAGAACAUGGAUACGCCUCAGCGAGUCCUCGUUGCUGAGUCGGCACGUCAACUCCGCGAGGAGAGAGAGGCUGCUUCAUUGAUUGCGAGAGACGGUCAGGGUGGGGCAAGUGAAGGAGAGGCUUCUCUCCCUGACUUCGUUCCAUGCUGUUAUCACCCCGAAGGAAUCUUCGAGGAUCUCCCAGCUUUGGCGCCGGAACAGAUGCGUUCUCUUGUCGUGGAAGGACAAACGUGGGAGAACGUCGAGGAGACUCGUUUGACUCCUAGCAGCGUGAAAGCUUUGCUGAGAGAGUGCAGAGGAGUCGGAGUGACUUUCGUAAUCCCAACGAGGUCUCAGAGGCCGUGGUCCCCUCUGUUGGGGUUUCAGUGUGUCUACGAGUCAUACUUUCAGAGCGAGACCAAGCUCUGGUUUCUGAUUCCUCGACUCAUCACAUCUUAUACGAGACGUCGUGACGCAGCGAUGAGCCAGUUCUUGAAUGGCGCGUUCCGUAUUUCGGUAGCGUUGAUGGUGACAGCGGCGGAGAUCGAUAUCUCAAUGAGCGUGCGGACUCUUGAAGAGCUGACCUACGUUAAAUCUAUGGGGGACGGAUUGUUCUCGAUUCAGAUGAGGCCCAACUACAAUGUGAUUGUUGACCACCCUAGCAGGACGGCCAAUUGGCAGGGCUUCUAUUUUUACGUCAAAUUUGAUGGUAUUGCCUUAGAGGAGCCGCCCGACGAUUCCUUUCGAUUUUAAUGGAAUCAUAAGCUCGAUAGAGCACUGUUGUUAGCUUAUCGACUGUUUCUUUCUUUUAUUUUCUGACUGACGAGUCCUUGGUUGAUUACAGUUGAUCACCCAGAUUCGGCCUCCUAUCCAGAAGAGUUCAUUGCUAACGCUCGGGCCGUCAUGUCGCGUGUUCAAGUAAGUUGGAAAGACAUCACCGUCGAGGGGAUUCGAGGAGCCACCGGUAGGAUUCCGAAGAGUAAGUUUUCUUUUCGUGAUUACAUAUUUUUCCUGGCUCGCGUCUGUUCACUCUAGGCCUUUAUCCGGAUCAGACUCGUCGACCUCUUGCUGGGGACUGGAGAUCCGAUUUACCACCUUUGAUUACCGGAAACAAGCGGCGCUUUUCGAUAUUCAAUCGUGCCGAGCAAAAGGUGAUCAACGCAGCUAGGGAGAUGAAAUAACUUUCGGACUUGAGCGCACUAAUCAAGAAGAAGCUGAGCGAAGGGAAAAAUACGUCUUCUGCGACUCCCGGUGAGACGACUCCUAGUAAGACGACUCCUGGUGAGACGACUCUUAGUGAGACGACUCCUGGUGAGACGACUCCUAGUAAGGCGACUCCUGGUGAGACGACUCCUUCAGAGCCUCCCCCUCCUGCUGUUUCCUCGGGACCAAUCAAUAUCGAAUCCUCGAGGGAGGACCUCAUGCAGUCUUUUGAAGGAGAGACUGCCGAGCCAUCUGUGACAGACGGUAAUAAGAAGAAAAGGUCUGCUCCCGAUUCUUCUGCUUCAAUCGACGCCCAAGCGAGGACUGGGUCUGAUGAACCUCCGAGGAAGAAGAAGAAGAAGAAGGAGAAGAAAAAGAGGAAGAAGUCUACUGAGGGGCAGUCGGAACUUAUCGGGGACGCUGAGGGCCACGAACCUGUUGUUCAUGAGGGCUCUUCUCGUGAUGCUGCGACUCGAGCUGUCGUUGAGUCGAGCGGUUCCCCGAACAUCCCGCUAGAGAAGAGGAAGAAGUCUUCCUGUGGGAGUGAUGCGUCCGCUUCUGCUGCAAAGACUCCUUCGGUGGCGCCUCCGACGACCACGGGGGAGGCUCAGCCUCGGAGGAACCUCGGAUCAAAUUCCGCGAUCGCGUUGAAUUCAAGUAUGACGGCGACACUCCACUUGCUUACGCUCUGUCGGAAUGUGCUGAGCUUAUUCGACAAAUUCGAGGUGGCGCCAAGGAUAUGCCUCCUGUUAAAGAUCUCCUCUUCAAAGACGCAUAUGUUGAUGCAGCGAGGACCAAGGUUUUGGUAAGGAUUACUCUCCUCGUCUCGCCUUCUCUAUAUUCUUAAUUCUGAUCCUCCCCUUUGUUUGUGCAGAGCGAUGGGAGCAUGAACUACGUCGUUGAGUUGUACGACACAGCCCUUAAGGAGACCAUCUCCAAACUGAAGCAAUCAGACAGACUCGUGCGAGCGAGGGACACGGUUCUCAAUCGCAAGACGAGUGAAUUCAGGGCGGCGAUCGACAAGGCAGCAGCGGAGCAGAGUCGGUUACUCGCAGGGAAGAAAGCUCAGAAGGAGAAGUUUAUGGAGAAGUUCGGGGAGCUGAAGGACAAGUUCAAAAAUGCAAGUGAGAAGAUCAGAGGGCUCGAAUGAGAGAGAGCUGCUUUGGAAAAAGAGAAAACUGCUUUGGAGGAGAAGAGGGUGGCCACGGCUUUAAGGCAUCUGAAGGAGGUCAACCGGUUGAGGGACUCUCGAAGUUACGAGGUUACGCAUGAGUAAGUCCGCGUUCAAACGGCUAUGAUUGUAAAAAGCAAUCAUCGUUUUGCUAAAAUUCGAGACCUCGAGAAGCGUCAUGGCGACUUCGAGACGGCGAGAUCCCUGCAGAGCCAAGCCAUUGGAACGAAGAAGUGUCUUGAAGCGCUUAAGGAGAGCGGGAUUGAUAUCCCGCAAGAGACGUUCGACCUGUUUGCUGAGCAGGAGAAGGAGUUCGAAGCUGAGGCUAAGCGCUUAACAGUUGGCGGGAUUUCCGAAGAGCUUCUUUGUUUGUCUCUGCUUCAUCUCCCGUCCACCUUCUUGAACGAGGACGUUUUGGCAGCAAACGACCCGUACGGGUCGAACGCAGGUCUGAUUGAUGCAGGAACCGCGGCUUCCCUCCAAACUCCAACUAGUUCUCAGGGAGAUCAUGCGAUCGAAUGGCCGAAUGAACCGACCAGGAGAGAGCUCGGGGAGUCGUAUGUUCAGGGACACGAGGUCGUUAGCAGGGUCGAGAGGUCCGAGGAUGCGACUGCUCCACUUGUAUUGGGCCCUGCCCCAUCAAUGGCCAACCUCGUCGUGAGUGAGGAGUCGUUGAUCCCGGUACUCGGAGUUAGCGACGCGAAUCCGACUCUUCCUUUGGGUCUCAAGGAGGCGGGAUCGGAGCCUGUUGACCUGCUCGAACUCUCAGACUUUCAACUGAAGAAGAGGGUGGUGAAAAAUUGGACGAGCGGGUCCCCGGGGAUAAUCCGCAAGGAACAGAGGAAGGAGUGGUCGACGAAGUUGAGGAUCCGCCUGCUUCGGCAACGGACGAGGCUGGAGGCUCCUCAGAUUAGCUCGAAGCUCGAGUCGUCAAGGAAGACCCCGAUCGUGCCGAAGACUAACCUCAUAUGUUGUUGUUGAUUUGCUUAAGCUUUCUGUUUUUUAGCCCUUUGAGGCAUUUUUUAUGUAAUUUCUGAACUCUUUACUUUGCGGCUGUUUUUCGUUUCAGACCUUCAGUAAGCCUUUUUUUUUUUAAAAACGAAGUUUGCCUUAGUCGUGAAACACAGUCUCGUGGACUCGGAAGUGCUAGUUGCCUUUCGACGAGUCGCUGAAUUGUGUUUCGGACAUUUGAUUCUAACGAUUUUGACUUAACGAUUCGGUCAGAGUUUCGAAUUAAACCGGAGAGUCGAUUGUCCAGUCUUAUCGAAUCUUGACGCGUUAUGUCGUCAGUUCGAGUCCUCGAAAAAGUAUAACUUUCGACUUCGAAGAUAAUCGUUUAUAGUUUCGAGCGACAGCGGUUCUCAUUCGAUCUUAAAGUGAUCCUAAAAAUGUUAGGUUGGCCAAACCUGGCUUCAAAGGAUCAUAAGGUGAUUGAAAGUUGUUGUCUCGAACGCAUCGGCUGAGACCGUGAUACGACCGGGGAUCCCUUGAGUACGUGUCUGAUCAGGACAUGCUCGUUAGUGUGCACGAGUUCUAGUACGUUCGUCCGAGAUAGAAGGUCAUACUCGUGCGUAAGCAUCGUUCAAAACAAUUCGCGCUCCAACUUGUUGCGGAAUUGUUUUGUUAUAGCUGGACCAUUUAAGGCUGCCUACGUACCUCUGGGAGAGGAACAAGCCAUUCGUAGUUCGUUUUUGGAUUAGUAAAAGUGGCAGUGGAAGCGCAUUCACUUGUUGUUGUUGUUUAUUUUUUAUUUUUUAUUUUUUACGAGUGAAAGUGACGGAAUUGUCAUUCACUUGGAGGUUCGAUCGAGUAAGACUUGCAGGUGCUCGACCGUUAGACAUGUUCUCAAGAGUAGUAUCUUCGGAGAUGCAUGGAGUUCCAUGCUCUGGGAACGGGUUCGCCAGUCGAUGUCUCGAGUCGGUAGACUCCUGGUUUAACAACCUGAGCAAUUUUGUAAGGCCCUUCCCAGUUAGUUCCGAGUUUGCCUGCAUUCAGCUCCUUAGUGUUUUCGAACACUUUGCGCCGUACUAUAUCGCCCAGUUCGAGAGGUCGAGACUUGACCUUCUUGUUGUAGUAGCUUUCGAUCUGAUGCUGAUAAUUCUGGAUGCGGAGCAGGGCUUGGUCGCGGCGCUCUUCUAUGGCGUCCAGAGCAUCGAAGAGCAUGUCGCUGUUGAGUUCAAUGUUCUGCGGCAUUCUUGACCGUCGUAGACUGGUUACGUUCACUUCGACGGGGGCCAUAGCUUCGACUCCGUAUGCCAUUGAGAAAGAAGUUGAUUUUGUUGCUCCUCGAGGAGUUGUUCUAUGUGACCAGAGAACACCGUCGAGUUUAUCAGCCCAACAUCCUUUUUUUAAGUCGAGGCGUUUCUUCAAACCGUCGAUUAUGAUCUUGUUGGAUGCCUCGGCUUGACUGUUGCUCUGCGGGUAUCGCGGACUCGCUGUGUUGAGUCGGAUUCUCCAUCUCUCGUAGAAUUCUCGGAACUUGUUCGAUAUGAACUGGGAGCCGUUGUCAGUCACUAUUUCGUAAGGUAGGCCGUGGCGACAGGUGAUGUUCUUACACACGAAUCGUUGAACUUCUUUUUCUGUUAUGCUAGUGAAGGCUUCAGCCUCAAUCCACUUUGUGCAGUAAUCUGUCAAAACUAGGACGAAACGCUUCUGUCGAGAGCUCGGCAUAGGGCCGAUUAUUUCCAUUCCCCAUCGCAUAAAAGGGUAUGGAGCAGUCAUCGUUCGCAGCAACUGCGUCGGGGAGUGGAUUGUCGAUGCAUGUCACUGGCAUUGGUCGCAUCGCUGGGCGUAAGCUUCGCAGUCUGCAUUCAUUGUUGGCCAGUAAAAGUCGAGGCUUUUGACUUUUAACGCGAGUGCUCGACCUCCGGAGUGGUUUCCCGCGGCGCCUUCAUGCGUUUCGGCCAUGACAAGGUGCGUCUCCUCGCCGUUGAUGCACUUCAGAAGCACCUUGGUUGCGGUCCAUCGAUGGACUUCUCCAUCCAAGAUGACGCAGUGGGCACUCCUUGUCUUGAGCCGUCUUGCAAUCCAUUUCUCGGGGGGUAAACUUUCGUCGACCAGAUAGUUGAUGAAUUAUGUCCUCCAGUCGGUACCUUCAAUUUGUUCUGUUGCGGGGUCCUCGUCCAUGGGGAUGGCUUUGGUUAUGGGUGCUAUGACGGUCACUUCGCUAGGCGGGAGCUCGAUGCUUGGCUUGUCGAUCUUGUGGAUGGCCAAGAUCGCGCAGCCUGCUACCCAUGGCAGCGAGGGCGUCGGCGCACACGUUCUCUCCUCUGGGGACUUUGUUGAGUUCAAAGAAUUCGAAGUCCCUAGCGAGUGUUUGAACGACUUUAAGGUAUGCGUCCAUUCGUUCGUUACGAGCAUCGUAGUCGCCGCUAAACUGACUGGUAACUAGUUGUGAGUCGCAGUAUGCACUGAAGUGUUUUGCUUUGACUGCCUUAGCGAGUCGUAGUCCUGCGAUCAAUGACUCGUAUUCCGCUUCAUUGUUUGAAGCGGUGAAGCCGAAACUGAACGACUGUCUGAUUAGCUCGCCUGUUGGAGACUGAAGUUGGACUCCUGCUCCUGAUCCUUUGUUUGUUGACGAUCCGUCGACGUGAAGUAUCCAAUUCUGACUUGGAAGAACUAGAUCUUGCUCUAGCUCUGGUGCGAGCUCGAUCAGGAAGUCAGCGAGGACUUGGGAUUUUGCUGCUGUUUGAUUUUUGAACACAAUGUCGUGCUCGCUGAGCUCGAUAGUCUACUUCGAUAAUCGUCCAGAUUGGUUGGUGUUCUGCAUUACUGUGCGUAGCGGUUGAUUCGUUAGUAAUUCGAUCGUGUGCGAUUGGAAGUAAGGACGCAGCUUCCUUGCUGACGUAAUAACUGCAAGAGCCAUUUUCUCGAGGGUGGGGUAUCGCGUUUCCGGAUUGGUCAUCCGCUAACUCGUGUAGAAGAUGGGCUUCUGCACUCCUCGAUCCUCUCGGAUAAGGAAACUGCUGACCGCGGUGGAGGAUACUGCGAUAUAAAGAGAGAGUGUAUCACCGGCUUCUAGUUUCGAUAACACGGGAGGAGUCGUAAGAUACUGUUUGAGUUGGUCGAAUGCCUCUUCGCACUUCUUGUCCCAGACAAAACGUUUGUUUCCGUGCAGUAGCUCGUAGAAAGGGAGGCAUUUAUCUGUGGACCUAGAGAUGAAGCGGUUCAAUGUUGCAAUCCUUCCCGUGAGUCGCUGAACUUCUCUGCUGUUCUUUGUACUAGGGAGAUCAAGUAUGGCUGGGAUCUGCCUAAGAUUCAUCUCGAUUCCUCGCUGGGUGACGAUGUAUCCCAAGAAUUCGCCUGAGGUGACGCCGAAGGUGCAUUUUUCCGGGUUGAGUUUCAUUCCGUACUCAUUCAGCGUUUUGAAGCAUUCUUUUAUAUGAUUUAGAUGUUCCGCCGCGCGGAGUGACUUAACCAGCAUGUCGUCGAUGUAGACCUCCAUCGUUUUCCCCAAUUUGUCGGCGAACAUUCGAUUGACGAGUCGUUGGUAAGUCGCACCGGCGUUCUUAAGGCCGAAUGGCAUCACUUUGUAACAGUACCUCCCUCUAUCGGUGAUGAACGCUGUCUUCUCUCGAUCGUCUAGGUGCAUCAUGAUUUGAAUGUAUCCUAAGAAGGCGUCCAUGAAAGUCAAGAGCUCGUUUCCAGCGGUCGACUCGACCAGUCGAUCGAUAUGUGGAAGUGGGUAGCUGUCUUUGGGACAUGCCUCGUUUAGAUCGGUAAAGUUGGCACAGACGCGCCACUUUCCGUUCUUCUUCUUGAAGAAGACCGGGUUUGCCAACCACUCCGGGUAUCAUACUUCGGCGAUUGAACCGGCUACGAGGAGUCGCUCGACUUCUUUGUUGACGGCCUUGCUUCGUUCGGGGCCAAGCUCGCGUCUCUUUUGGCGAAUAGGCUUGAUGGUUGGAUCUACAUUCAACUCAUGGGAUGUUAUGGCGGGAUUUAUUCCCCUCAUAGCUGACGUCACCCAAACGAACGUUGAUGCAUUCUGCUUCAGAAAGUCGAUCAUCACGCGUUGCAUUUCUUCGGAGAGGAAAGCGCCGACUCGGACUACUUUUUUUUGGUCUGAGUCGUCGAUCGCGACUUCUAGAAUUUCAUCUUUUUGAGGUUGAAUUUGCUUUGCUAUUGCGUUGAUGCGCGGAGUCGAUUGUUGCAUCUUCACCGUUGCAAUCAGUAGAUCACGUGCCGCCUGCUGGUCUCUGCGAAGUGUCUGCACUUGACCGUUCAGUCCUGGGAACUUCACGCACUGAUGAUACGUCGAUGAUAUUGCCUUCAUCGAAUGUAACCAGGGGGUCCCGAGGUGGAGCCUUUGUUCGGAUAACAGAAAACUUGACUGUGCGUGUUACUCCACACGCGUAGACUGGGAGCUUGAUCGUUCCGAUCAUCGUCUCGGAAGCUCCGUUGAAUCCGGUGAGGGAGCGAGACGACGGUUUCAUAUCGCGCAAAUCAACUCCCAUAUUAUCGAGUGUAUCGCGAAAGAUCAGAUCAACCGAACUGCCAGUAUCGACUAGAACUUUGGCGACGUCGCACUUCGCGAUUCCUACUUUGACGAGUAGGGGGUCGUUAUGAGGUAGGUGAACGCCGAUGGCAUCGUCAGAGGAGAAAGUGAUCGAGGGAUCAUUCUCAGGUUUCGAUGGCCAUUUCUUCGAGGUUACUGCAUGUCGUCGAUGGUCCUUGACUGACCGAACCGAGUCGCCGCAAGGGGGUGAGCCUCCCAUAAUCACGUUUAAGAAGGGGACUCGCUCGGCCCAUCUGUUUUGUAGAUGAACCCUUAGGUUGUUAGACGAGUCCUCGACAAUAGGUUCGUGUCCGUCACCGUUCUUAGCUUUCGUCAGCUCCAGCUUUCGUCGUAAGUCGGAACGUUUAGGUCGGUUGAGCUUGAUCCUGAGGUCUUCUAAUUUUGAGUUGAGCUGAUCGCGUAGGUCGACGACUCGUGGCUUGAGGUGGGGUCGAACACUGGAGUCUUCAAUUCUUUUAGCCUUGGACUCUUCGAUGAUUGAGCGAAGAUCGUCCUUAGAGUUGUGCAUGCGGUCGAGUGUAUGCGAUUUUCGCCUGAGCUUGUUUCUCAAAUCACUCGACUUUUCCGGUACGCCGUUCUCACUUGGUCGCUUGUUGGAGUGUUCUUACGAGUCGCGGACUUCGUUGUCCUCUUCUUCGUCCGAGGAGGAACUCGGUCGUGCGAAGAUGACUUGGACACGUCGACGGUUACAAGGUUGCUCUUCUUCGAUUUGUGCUUCGCCUUCGUCUUCGUCCUGCUCCUCUGGUUUAUCAUCUUCUGCGUGUUUGGGUCUGCCUUGUCUUGAUUUUUCUGAGCUUUCUUCUCUUUGUUCUUGUUCUUAGGAAGCUCGACGUUGGCUGUUCCGUUUUCGUAAGAUGAGAAGAGGGCGUCGACCAGAUGCUUGCAGUUCCUCGUAUCGUGCGCCUUGGACUUAUGGUAGUAGCUACACCAUANNNNNNNNNNNNNNNNNNNNNNNNNNNNNNNNNNNNNNNNNNNNNNNNNNNNNNNNNNNNNNNNNNNNNNNNNNNNNNNNNNNNNNNNNNNNNNNNNNNNAAGAAAAGGUGGAGACGAGAUUACACAAUCAAACUCGCAGCGAGGUCUCUGGAUUCUUGGUAUUCUAUGGAGAAAUUAAAGAUGAAAAAGAAGAGGGUUCACUCAAUUAGGGUUGAUAAACGAAGAAGGAACUGUCAAAUUUGGGAAAGUAGAUCUGAAUUUCAAAAUGUAAAGUUGGAGAGAGAAAUAUGUUGGUUUUCGAGAACUCAUAAAUCAGACAGAACAAUCAAUUGUUGAUAAACAUUAUAAAAAUAGAAUCAUGGUUAGGUGUCUCUGGUUAGUUUUACCUUGGUGUGAUCAAUAUUGAGGGCAUGAAAGAUAAUAACCACACAUAAAGUGCAUUGCCAGCAGGAAGUAUCUUAGGAAGUAAAAGUUUCUAGAAUAUAUCAAUGAGAUUCAUUGGGCUGAUAAGAAUACACGACUGAAAGGGUACAAACCCAUCACAGCUGGGCGCCUGCAGGUGGUGACACCAAUCACCAAUGAGAACAGAAGACCUCUCUUACGCAUAUAAAGCCCAAACUUAUUUGUGGUCCAUCAAAGCCUACCAAGAGUAUUAUUAAAAUCCGUAGCGGUCUUUCUUUUCAGAGUCCCACAUCGGUAAAGUGGGAGAACUGAGCAGCAAAGCUCGCACUAUAAAUAAACCUCUCCUACUAACUAUUCAAACCACGCAGCCAUGUGGUGAGCACAAAGCGAACUAUUCUUUCGCCUUUUACUAAAGAAUACCGUGUGCUCUCCACGCUAAGUGGCAUACGCCUAUUUUUGGAGGGUCCCACUUUCGAGUGGGCCCAACAACAUUUAGUUCAAAGUUUAUAUCAACAACGGUUUGUAUUUGAUUAACCGGCUUCGGUAUAAUACCUAGUCUCAAUUGGAUUACGCCGUUUUUCCUAUUUGUAGAUUAAGGCAAUGAAAUUUUGUUAAACCAUUUCCAAUUUCCUGCAGCAUUCAAAGCUUUUACAACGUCAUAUUUUUUCUCUCAGUUUACUCUUUUACCUGUUUCACUUUCCUUUACAUUAUCUGUUUCAUGUUCCACUGUUCGAAAACGAAUCUUUAAUUUGAUAUUAUACCAAUGAACGAUUCAAUCAUAUAAAUUUAGUUACAAUCGUGUAUCUCGUUAUUAUUUGUUCUUUGAUUAUAGACUGUAUAAACUGAACAUCUUGUUUAUCUAUUUUUGCUAGUAGACGUUUAUUAUCCUUGCUAUGGAUUCAUGAAUUAUCAUAGUGACCAUUGGGAUAGGUUCAGUUGUUAGUUAGUGUGCCAUCAAGAUAAUCACAGCGAACCUCAAUUGCCGUGGUCUCUGUAUUCAUAUCAUUUGGCAUUCAACACACCAAAUGUUGUCUACCUCUACUCUACUAGGCCGACCAUGUGUUUGAGGUUGUGACUAUUAUCACGCUAACUUCUUAGACUCCCUUGUCUAAGUUCGCAUGAGUCUUGUUUUAUACUUCCUUCAAAUCCAGGCCUUCAUCUUUUGAUAGAGAAAAUAAAUAUCGAUAUAUCACCGUAGGACAUAACGAGAUUUAGAUGUCAUAAAUUCCAAAAGGUACACACAGUCUUACAUUUUUUUAUUUAUUGAGUUUGCUUCUUCCAACUCAAAGCUAUAUUUACGACUCAUAAAACCCUGAAAAAUCUCACUAAUUUCUCAUGAGAAAGUAAAGUGUUGCUUUGCUUCAUUGCCUUAGUCCUCCUUUGCCGCAUCACCAUUUGCAACAUCCUUCUUCUCCGCGGUUUCUUCCGUUUUCUCUUCUAUGCUUCUAGAAGUUUCACCGUGGGCAACCUCGGCGGAAGCUUCUUCUACAGUGUUGGUAGAAGGUUCUGCACUUUCUUUGCCAUCUCCAUCAUUCUUCUGAAUGGUCCCGACUUUGACAUACUUGCUCAUGAACUUGUACUCCCAGUCUUGCAACGCAUCUAGCUCAAAUGGACCAAGACCAGAGAUGUCUCCGGUCAAAUCGGUUUCCUCAAAGGACAUCUUAGCAAGAGCUCGGCUUGCAUCUUUCCCUGCAAACAGAGCGUAUGGUCCACCUGGUCCAUAGAACAUCCUGCACAACAUUUAACAGAUGUGAUGUUGUCAGUAAGGAAAAGUAGAGUGAAUACAGAAAAAACUACACUUUAGGGUGGUCAUAUAUGUACUACAUACAUAUCUAGCUUAAAACACAUCUAGCUUAAAAGUCAUGGAACUAUGUAAAUGUGGAUAAUUAGAUUCAUACAAGUGCAACACAGAAGCAAAUUAAAAGCCAGACCUUUUAACGAACUUGUAUGUUAUCAUUCCCAAAGUAGGGAUCUUUAAGCUAUAACUUGAAUACAAGAAAAGCAAUGAUAAAACACUCUGAAACAAAGGAGUGAAUAUUCACAUACAUACUAAGCUCACACACCAAACAAGUUAGGGACCAACAAAAACUACCAAAAGUUAACAGCUUUAUGACAAAAUAAUUAACAAGUAGAACCACAUCAUCAAAUCAGAGACUCUGAUCGUCUUCUUAAUAAAAAAAGGAGCAAACCUGCUCUGGGAAACAUCGUAGAUCUGGCCUUUGAUGGCCAUGAGAAGGGGCUUUUUUGAAUCUGAGCCGUCGUACUGCUUAAGCUCCUCCUCCGUGAUUUCUCCGAGCUGAACCGGAGGCGGAAGGGGCUCCGGCUGAGGGUAAUCCUCCGUGGAGCGAGGACGGUGUUCCCCGGGAGAGACGAAGAAGCCGGAGACGACUUGAUAGACUGCGAAAGCGAGAGCUAAGACGGUGAAAAACGCCGCCGGAGAGAGUCCGGUGUAAGCUGUGAUGGUUUCCUUUACCGUCUCCCAUAAUUCAACCACCAUGACUAAUCCAAUCGAAAGAGAGGGGGAGAGAGAGAGAGAGAGAGAGAGAGAGAAUCGGUGGUGGUCACUGGUUUAGAGCCAAACAGUCCGUAACGUUUGUUUCUUUUUAUUACAAGGAAAAAUCAAAAUUUCCUCUUAAUUUAAUCGGUGGUGGUCACUGGUUUAGAGCCAAACAGUCCGUAACGUUUGUUUCUUUUUAUUACAAGGAAAAAUCAAAAUUUCCUCUUAAUUUAUAAUUAUUCUCUAUAAUUACACAUAAUUUAGAUCUUAUUAAAAAACAUAAAUGGUCAAUUACGCAACAAAAAUUAAAAACAGAGCUGUCAAUAAAUGACCGUUGAUUUUCAAGGUAGAACAGCUGGAAAAUGUUUUUUUUUUCUUUAAUAAUCUACAAAUAUUGUAUGUGAUCUUAUAAAUUCAUAAACGUUUUAAAGAAGAUAGUUACACCUAACAAAUGGUGGUUUAGUUUAAUAAACGGUGCCGUUAUUGCCGCCUUGAGAUGAGUAGUACUAGUAGGUGAGAAGUAGAUGAUACCAAAACAAAAUGUGACUCUUAUCUUCUCUUUGUUCUAUAAAAUUUAAAACAUGUGUCCAAAUAUAAUUGGGCUUCUUUAUAUAUAUGUAGAACCACCAAUAAAGAACUGGAAGUUGUAUAGCAUAUAUUUAUAUGAGAGAUUAUAAAACUAUAUAUAUUAUAUAUAUUCAGUAUCAAAACUAUCAUAUUUUUUUCAACCAAACUAUCAUUUUUAAAUCUACAUUUUUAGUGUACAUCAACAUUUAUUCAGCGGUAACUAUUGAUAAAAAAAAUCAAAUAAAAACUAUGCGGAGUUUAAAACUGUUAACUUACUUUCCUACUCAUACUUAAGGCUGAUUUUAAGCAAGAGCUUUGAAGUUAUAAUCUCAGGUUCUUUUAUUUACUAGGUGUUUUCUUCCAUCAUGUGCAAUUAAUAAAAUAUAAUUUAAAUUAUAUUUUAAAUUUUUUUUAUUAAUAUUUUAAAAUUUAAUAUUUUCUUACCUUUGUUCUAUAUUGAAUUGCAAAUACAAAAAUGAUAGAAUCUUUGUUGAUUAUACUAAAUUAAUAUGAAAGGGCUAAAAAAACUGAAAGAAGAUACCAAAGAAAAAAAAUAAGCAUCUAUAUGUAAUUUGUAAUAUAAAUUUUGAUUUUAUUAAAGAUAGAUAAGAUAAAAUAAAUACUUCUAUUAUAAGCAUCUAUAUGUAAUUUGUAAUAUAAAUUUUGAUUUUAUUAAAGAUAGAUAAGAUAAAAUAAAUACUUCUAUUAUUUUAAUUUAUAUUUAAUAAUAUAUAUAUAUAUAUUUAAAAUUAUAAUUUUAGAUAGAUUUUUAUCUAUUUAUAUUGGUUAACAUAUGAUUAAAUCAACCUGUAUAAAAUUAAGAAAAAAAGUUUGCUAAAAAAAUUAUAUAAUUAUCAAAAAGUAAAAGUAAAUAUUAUUUCUAAAAUUUGUAGAUACCAAAAGGAAACUAAUGGUAUUAGGAUUAAAAAUUUAUUAUUUUUUAAUAAAUUGCAUAAAAUUUUAAAAUUUGUAAAAAUAUUGUUAUAUUUCUUUUAUUAUAUUAUUUAAUGUUAUAUUUGAAUAUUUGAACAUAUUUACUUUAAUGAUGAUUUAUUGGUUAUUAUCUUAUUGUAAGAAUUUUACCAAAAGUAUAAAUCAACAUUAAAUGUAAUUAUAUAUGUCACAAUUAGAUAUAAGUCAUGUCAUAAUUGAUAGUAUGUCAUGUUAUUUUUUUAGUGAAAAUGUUUGUGGAAAUGACACAUAAUUUUUUUUGAAAAAUCACAAUCUUUAGGGAAUUGGAGAGACCGUAUCUUUUUUUGUAGGGUUUGGUAAUUUAAUCUCUAAUUCACACAAUCUUAUAGCUUCUUUUACAUAUUCACUUUCAUAUAUCAGAUAAACUCUUAAGAUUUGUAAGCGAACUGAAGAACAUUAUAGAAUAUACUCUAAAAUGUUAGAAGAUAAAGAUCAAAAUAAGAUGAUUAUCCAUCUUAGACACAUGUCUUUCUUACAGCAAUCAUGUCAUCUAUCACCUUUUAGUAUUUUAUCUUUUUCUAGUAAAGCAACCGACUUAUGUGUAAUAUAAAUAGCAUUCAUUCUCUUUACUUUGUACGUACAACAAGAAGAAGAGUUUAUAAUAAAAAAAAGAAUCAUUUGCUCUUAUCUCUCAUUACUCUCCAGCAUAAAUAUAUAUAUAAUAACUAUAAGCAAAGCUAUAGUUAUCUAUUUACUCCUUUUUAUUUACAACACGUUAUCAGCACGAAGCUCUGACCAACUGAGGUUUAUCAAUCCGAAAGUUCUUAAACCAGUCGAGGUAAUAUUUAAAUUUAUAUGUUUCAAUAUACUUAAUUUAUUUAAAUUUUAUUAUUGUUCCGGAGUGAGAGGUUAGGCCUUUUCCGUUUAUUUUUCGGGAUGAUAGACGAUGUCUUUCCCGACUGAUCGUUAUGGUAGGCUAUGCCUUCACGAUCAGAUGAUCACGUAUUCACGUGGUAGGAUUUACCUCCGUGAAUUGAAAAAAAAAAGAUCACGUGGUAGGCUUUGCCUCCGUGAAAUGAAAAAAAAAGAUACGUGGAAGGCUUUGCCUCCGUAAAUAAAAAGAAAAGGUCAAAAAUGGUAGACUAAGUCUCCUCGGACCUUGAAAUAAGUAAAAGUCAAAAUGGUAGAUCAUGUCUCCUCGGACUUUGAAAAAUGAUCAAUAUGGUAGUCUUUGACUCCUCGGAUCAUGUGGUAGGCUAAGCCUCCUGACUUUAUUUAUGCUAUUUAAAUUUCUGCAAUUUAAUUUACGCAUUUAUUUUAUGCCUUCAAUUUCUGCAUUUUAAUUCUCGUCUUUAUUAUAAUAUUAUUCUAUGAAUAAUGUUAUCAUGUGAGUUUUGACAAAGCUCAAAAUAGGUGCCCUUGGUAUUACGAGAAAUAAUUAUAAGACUUGGGCAGUGGGUGCAAAUAUGCACCUGAGAAAAAAUGAGCUUUGAGAAAUCAUCGAUAAAUUGAAACGAUAUCGGAUGAGAAAAGAAUAAAGCCAUGAUAAUUUACAUCACUUCAAUGAUGGUUUAUAAGAUGAGGUGUAUCAUGAGAAAAGAUCUAGAAGAUCUUUGAAUAAUUAAAUCCUUGAAAGAAAGGAUUCAAUAAAUAGUUGGAGUUGAUGAAAAUCCUCCUUGAAAACUAAAAAUAAGGGAAAUGAAAUCAUGAUACUAAACCAUCAAGUCGGUCCUAUUAGAAAAGGACGAGGGUGUAGAUACGGUUGAAACCCCCUAUCGUGGUCGUGGAAGUGGACGAGGAAGAAUAUUCCGUCCAUGCGAAAUAGUUAGAACUUCCACGAAAAUAAAAGUGGUCGGGUGAUAAAAGGCAAACAUAAAAGGUUUGCUAUAGAUACGGCUAGAAAGAAAAUUGGGUACGUAGUUGUCGUAUGCCAAAGAUUUAGCCGAUCUAUAUCGAGAAUCAAAAAGAAAAAGAGAAAGGAAGUAUAUUAAACUUUUUCUCUUAUGAGCCCGAACCAUCUUUCAUAGUUUGAAUACUCAUCUUGAUGUGAUAGACUUUCUCGGUGAACCAGAGAGUAUCAAUGAUAUAAUGAUUAUCUUCCUGAAGAAGAUUUUGAGAUUCAGGAUGGAGAUAGAAAUACUUGGCAGAUAUUGGAUCAUCGUACAUGACUAAUAAAGGUAACAAAUAUUUCUUUUCUCUCAAAAUAAAUAAGUAUAGUAUCUAGUAAUAUAAAAAUUAUUAUUGCUCUAGAGGAGCUUAUGAUGAAAAGACAUGCAUAAAAAAAAAGAUGGCAAAAUUAUAAACGAGUGGUAAACCUGGAGUUUACUGAUAUAUAGCCAUCUCCAAUAAUGUUAUCGACAUUAUUGUGAAAUGUUGAAAAACUAGAAGUUUUUCACAUAUAGCAUGUCAAAAAAAUAAAGGAAACCAUCAUGGUGAUGAAUCAUCAAACAAGUUCACAAUAUGUGAUUUCUUUAAGCAGAUCCCAAAUUAAGAUCUCACUCUAAAGGAUUUGAAACAUAAUUCAUCCCAAAUGGGAAAACUGAAUAUGUUAUUGGUUCUAGAGUGGGAUUCAGUACGAGAUUUUAGACAUGGAGUGUCAUCAUCUCGAGGGGGAGAAUUAAAGAAUCCUAAUGAGUGGAACAUUGAAAAAUUAUGUUCGCACUUGAAAAAGAACUUGAUAAAGUAAAUUCAAGUAAGAUGAUCCCCAUGAUUGGGUGUAAACAUGCAGUUGUGCAUGUAAUAAAGACAUAUACAAUCCAGAGGGAUAAAGUAUAUGGAUACUUAGAAAUAUGCUCGCAAGUUUGCUAGAAGCAUAUGAUAAGCUGAUGGAAUGAGAUAUGUGAAAUGGAUUACAAUGAAAAGUAGAAUAAUCCAUUUACAAAAUGCCUGCCAGACAUUUUGAUGAAAUAAUGAUAUCUCAUAUUCCAGCUGAAAAUGCUCCAAUAAGAAAAUAGUGUCCUAAACGGACGAUAUAUGAGUCUAUAGCACGCUAGAGACGUGAUAGACCACUUUGGUUCCAAAGAGUCCUCGAAAAGGAGAAAAAAUAUAAAUAGAGGAUGAAUCUCAUGAUGAGACCAUUGAUAUGGUUAAUAUAACAGUCAGGUACCUGGGUAAAUCAUCAAUGAUGAUAAAGAGAUCUCGAUUAACCAUAUCAGUACGGAUAAAAAUAUGGAAUCAAAGAGAAAAUAGAUUGUCGACAAUAAAUAAAUGAAAAAGCGCUAUAAAAAUAAAGAUUAUGAAUCUACCUCUAUAUAUGAGGGUAGAGUGAAUUGAUUGGCCAUCAAUUCGAUAUAAAGCUCGUUAGAAUAACGAGAGAUUUUUGGACCAAAAGUCCAAGGUAUAUAUUUCUCCAAAGAAUGUAAUGAAAGAUGACCUUGAGGUAUGAAAAGCGGCUUGUUCCAAGGUCACUGGAGAAAAUUUAAAAUAGAUGCAAUAUAUUAAAAUGUCUGGCAGGAAAAAAAAUAACUUGAGUUGCAUCUUGAUUUUUAGAACUCCCUGGAGAGUUAAAAAUGCUCUCGGGAAUGUAUAAAACAAACUCUAGAAGAGUUAGAACAAGCAGUAUAUAAGGUAUCUUGAACCGGUAACUGAUGAUAUGUUUACGGCACGAUUUGCCGAUUGCCAUUUUAAUGAGAAUGAAUUCCAGCGUUAGGGGGAGGAAUUUGAGAAAUUCCUAAAUAAAUUACAUGGUGUACACAUUUGUUGUUACACUUUGGUUCCCCUACAAAUCAAAGAAGAGCUGGAAGUUCAGGAAAUUGUGCAUUUGAAUAAUUUGGCAAACUAGUUACCAAAUGUGUUCACAGAUACAACAUGAUAUACCCGCUGAAAAUGUUCCAUCAAGAGUUGAUGUUCCUAAAGAACAAACUGAUGGAAAUAAAAUGAAUGAACCUAGGGUUCAGUUAAAGAAGGGGAGACUAGCGGGUUCUAGAGAUAAAAAUCCCCGAAAGAAUUUGGUUGAGAAAAGUUGCAAGGUUCCUGGAGAACCUGAUACUGAAAAAUGUCUGAAAGAAGACAUAAGUGGAAAGGUUGAAAGAGAACCUGAUACUGAAAGAUGUCUGAAAGAAGGCAUAAAUGGUAAGGUUCCAGAAGAACCUGAUACUGAAAAAUAUCUGAAAGAAGGCAUAAAUGAAAAGGGUCAAGAUGAACCAAAUAAAGAUGAUCCAGAUGACGAAAAGGGAAUAGAAAAGUAUGAGAUUUCCAUCAACUACACCCUUAAUGAAAAGUUAUAAGAUAAAAGAUGUUGAUGGAAUGUUCUCUUUUUCUGUGUCCAAAGUGAUCGAUCAUAAAAGUGAUCCCGAUCGAAGGUCCAUUUUGGAAUGUUAAAAAGACAUGAUUGGGAGGAGUGGCAGAAGGCCAUUCAAAUUGAAUUAUUCUCCCUAAAGAAAAUGAAUGUCUUUGGACCUAUAGUCAUAACGUCUGAGAAUAUAAAUCUUGUUGGGUAUAAGCGGGUAUUCGUGAGAAAAGUAACACGAUAUAAAACCUGAUUAGUUGCCCAAGAUUUUUCUCAGAGACCAGGAAUUGAUUUUGAGGAAACGUAUUUCCCAGUAAUGGAUGCAAUUACGUUUAGAUUUUUGAUGAGCCUAACGGCGUCAAAAAAUCUUGAGAUGCAACUCAUGGACGUUGUGACUGCAUAUUUGUAUGGAUCGGUGGAUAACGAUAUAUAUAUGAAACUUCCAGAGGGAUUGAAAAUGCCAAGGGCAUUGAAAGAAAAAUCCAGGGAGAUUUGUUCGGUCAAGUUACAGCGAUCACUUUACGGAUUAUAGCAAUCCGGACGCAUAUGGUACAAUCGCUUAAGUGAAUAUAUCUUGAAAAAUGAUAUGUUAAUAAUGCGAUAUGUCCAUGCGUUUCUAUAAAGAAAUUGCCAUCUGGCUUUGUGAUCAUUGUUGUAUAUGUAGAUGACCUGAACAUAAUUGGAACUCAAAAGGAGGUUGAUGAUGCUCGAACUCAUAUGAAAGAGGAGUUCGAAAUAGAUCUCGGCAAGACAAAGUUUUGUCUUGGGCUCCAGAUAGAGCAUUUCCGAGAAGGAAUAUUUGUGCAUCAAUCAAACUAUACAAAAAGGUUAUUGAAACGCUUUUGUAUGAAUAAAGUGACUCCUUUGAGUACUCCAAUGGUAAAUAGAUCUCUCGAUAUGAAAGAGAUGUUUAAAAGAUCCUGUAAGAUCUUAUAUAAAUAAGUACUUUGGAGAUGCUAAUAGUAAUAAAGCAUUUGUGAGCUUAUAUGUCUUGCAAGUUGUAUUUGAUAAAAUAUAGUUUUAGACACUAAUGUCUUUGCAAGAUAUAGUUUCCUAUUUAUGGAAAUUAGAAUGGCAUCGAGAACAUGUCAGUUCUCUCCAAGGUACGUAUUUAUUUAGGAUUGAUUUAUCCUAGAAACCCCGAGUUUGGUAUGGUUUUGCAGAUACAUGCUAUUUAUAAAGUCGAACGCAAACCGGAUAUGGUUUUACAACUGGUGGAACCGCGAUCUCUUGGCGGUCCCAGAAACAAACUCUGGUUGCAACAUCUUCAAAUCGUGCAGAGACUAUUGCGCUUCACGAAGCAUGUCGAGAAUGUGUGUGGCUUCGGUCAAUGAGUCCCCACAUACAAGAAUCAAACAGAUAGUCAACGAAAAUGAGCCGACGAAAAUUUUUGAAGAUAAUUCGGCUUGUGUUGCUCAACUCAAGGAAGGCUACCUUAAGAGCGACAGAACAAAGCACAUCUCUCCAUGAUUUUACUCGUACAUAAGGAAAUUCGAGAAAAAUAAAGAAGUGGACAUCGAGUAUAUACGGUCAUGUAAAAAUCCGGCUGACUUGUUUACCAAAACUCUUCCGACUACAACAUUCUGAAAACACGUUUACGGUAUCGGAAUGCGACGUUUGCGUGACCUGUGAAGAUAAGGCUAUGUCCAUUAUUCUCAGGGGGAGAUUACGUCACAGUACUCUUUUUUCCUUAUCAUGGUUUUUAUUCCAUCGGGUUUUUCCAUGACUAGGUUUUUAACGAGGCUGUACGUAAUACAAGACGGAUAAUCAAGGGGGAGUGUUAGAAGAUAAAGAUCAAAAUAAGAUGAUUAUCCAUCUUAGACACAUAUCUUUCUUACAGCAAUCAUGUCAUCUAUCACCUCUUAGUAUUUUAUCUUUUUCUAGUAAAGCAACCGACUUAUGUGUAGUAUAAAUAGCAUUCAUUCUCUUUACUUUGUACGUACAACAAGAAGAAGAGUUUAUAAUAAAAAAAGAAUCAUUUGCUCUCAUCUCUCAUUACUCUCCAGCAUAAAUAUAUAUAUAAUAACUAUAAGCAAAGCUAUAUUUAUCUAUUUACUCCUUUUUAUUUAUAACAUAAAAGAGUUUAAUUGUGAUAUAUUUUAUUAGUAGUCUAGGCUUGGAGGCUUCUUUAUACGUGUACAUAAGCUUUCUCGAGCGUUGAAAACUUGCACACUUUCUUAUCAUUCUAGGGGGUUACAGCGUUGGGCCAGAUCAUCUUCUGCUAAACUUCUUCAUGAAGAAGGGGAUGGUGUUGCAGCUCGUGUCUUGGAGAGUUUGGGUGCAGAUCAUAGUGAAAGCAAGUUACUGAAUGCAUCACCUCUUGAAUUCUCACAAUCAUUGUUAUGACUUAGGAACAAACUCUUGAUUGCCUUUUGAGCAUAAUUGAAAUCUAUAUUAUUAAAACUGAAGUACAUUUUGGUACUGUUUGGAAACUUAGAUAGUAGAUUAAAUGAAAGUUGUUUGGAAACAAGGAUAGCAGAUUAAAUAUUUUUUUAUUUACAUAUUUAGUCACUGUAUUUUUUUCUCAUUUACAGAUUCUGUCGUUUGGAAACUUGGAUAGCAGGUUAAAUGAGAAAUGUUUGGAAACACGGUUAACAGAUUAAAUAUUUAUUUUUAUUUACACAUUUAGCCAUUGCAUUUCUUUCUUAUUUACAAAUCUGCCACUUCAGUUAAAAUAAAAAAAUUAAAUUAAUUACAAUGAAUUGUUAUUUCUUUUUGCUGAAAAUAAAAACGCAAACUGUAAUAUAUAGUAUAUAUUAAUCUGCUACAAUACAAUUUUCAAGAAAACCAAAUAUCAUAAAAUUAAUAAUAAUUCAUAAAAACCUACAGUAAAAAAUAAAUAAUUUUUAAAUAAAUAAACAAAAAAAAUCAAUAGGUUAAUAUAUGAAUAUUACAUUUACAUCAAAUUGCAUCAAGUUAUAAAAUUAUAAAUAUAAUAUUACGUACAAAUAAAAAUUAUUAUCAAACAUCUAUAUUAUAAUAUAAUAUAUUCUACUCUAAAUAUAUUUACAAAACAUAAAAAUAUAAAUGGACAUUUUAUAAAAUCAAUGGUUUAUAAAUUUACACUGAACGCAAGUUAAAUCCAACACCCGCGCGGGGGGCGCGGAUCAAGAUCUAGUUAUUUAUUAUUCUUAAGGUUGGUGAUAUAUAGUAUUGACAUAAAAUACAAAUUUUACUAUUUUAGGCAUUUGCCUACAUCUAUAUAUACACACAACAACAGAGAGUAAAAGAUGAAGUAGCAAAGUUUGACAGAGACAAAUAAUAUGAGAAAAAACAUUAAAGAUGAAGAGAGCUCACUUCAUCAACCUUCCAGUCAUCUUCUUCAUACUUAUACCAUCUAACAAUCCCUUCAUCAUUCUCAGUCCUCUGACACAUGACACAAGUCUCAUGCUCCAUACAAGUCAAGAACCUCUUCAGCCUCGAAGCUUUCUCAAGUAUCACCUCAUCGAGCUCUCUCACAAUCACUUUCUUCUGCGGCUGCCACCCACUCAACUCCACAAGGUAAGAGUGAGAUAUGUUGAGCACCUCAAGAUCCUUUAACCCGUCAAGGAUUUUGAUCAGUGCCUCCCUAUUUAUCGAAGAGCAUCUAAGGCUGAGAGUUUUGAGGUUAGGGAGGCAGCUGAUGAGGGUGUCUGCAAAGAAGAUCUCGAAUGGACCCAUGAUCUUUAACUCCUUGAAGUUGUUGCAGUUGUUGGCGAUCUCUGUGAAGAGGUAAGGCGGGUUUGCGAUGCUAGGCAUUGUUAGUGACUCGAGAUCUUUCCAAAUCCUUAUGGCUUUGCAUAUCCCAGUCUUCUUUAUUCUGUUCCAAGCUGGUAAGACGAGUCGUCUCAGCCCUGGACACCUGCAAAGACAACGGAUACACUUUUUUUUUUAGUAUUAAGAAGAAGAUUCAACUCAGUUACAAGGCAUAUUACCGUUCAGCGGUGUAAGUAAGCUGAUCAUCACUCAAGAACAAGUUGAAAUGGAAAGCCAAGGUCCUCGUGUUCCCUCCGCUAAGAUUCAUGGAGAGUUUGAGGAUGCGAGUGAGGGACUCAUCAGAGCGACGUUCGACGUAGACAUAAGGCUCCAGUGGGAUCUUGAUGAAGCUAGAUCUCAUGUGUGACAAAUCAAGAGUCUUCCAGAGGAUGGGAUCGCAACAAACAGUUCUCCAUACACUACAAACACGAGCUAGUUCAAAGACGCUGAACUUGUGGAAAAUCUUCACUAAGAUGUCUGUGUCCAACUCUUCCCAUCUCCUUAACCGACGACUCUCAUACUCUUCUUCCAUUUUUUUUGCUUUCUUGAUUAUGAUUCCCUAAGCAACAAGUAGUAGAACGUUUAUUAAAAAAAAAAACACACUUAUCCUUCGCAUGAAUUCAAUGGUUCCGUAAGAUAUUGCUAAAUAGGGAAAAAAAUCAAAUUUAUAAAAGACCAAUCAUUGAUUGCUAUCAGAUAGUAGAAAGCAAACGAAACGUUUUCACAAAAAAAAAUUGAAAGAUCUUUUUCCUUAAACGGGUAACCUCUUUGUUAGAAACAGAGUAUUAAGACUUUUUUAUGAAAGUUGACAAUAAAAAAGAAAAGAAAGACUCUUUUAUGAAAAGCUAUCACCCUGAAGGAAAACUCGUUAAACAAGGAAUCUGAAAUCAAACAUAGAACCAAUGAACCUAAACUUGUCGAAGAAACUGAAGAUUGGGCCAUUAUUAAACUCAGAGGUAGGAAGACAGAAUUAACACGAAACUGUACGUAAAGACAGAGAAUAGAUCGAAAACCAACUAAUCGAUCUGAUGUCUAUCGACAUUCCUUAGAGUUUAGACGAACUGACAUAGAUCCUGAAUCCCCAUUUCUCAAUUCAAAAUCGAGAUGAAAACUAAGAAAUGAUUAGAUCAAAAGACAAGGAAGUUUAAACACACCCAAAUGGUAGAGUAGAGCAAACGGUCGAUGAUGACAAAUUGACAACUAAGCUCUCUCUAGCCAACGAAAGUAGAUAUGAAAAAAAUAAACAGUACCGGUUUUAUUUGGUUUAUUUAUUUUAUGUCUUUUGGAUUUGGUUUCCAGACAAAACCGGUCUCUCUCGACACGAACCCUUUCCUUCCUUAUCCUUCAGACCGAAAUUCUCAUUAUUGGGUGGGGGCUGACUUGGUAAUUUAAUCCGACGGUGGAAAACACUUAGUAGUAAUCCAACGGUGAGUAUUAGGUAGGUGAGAUGAUAUGGACGGCGGCGAUGCGUGUAGAAGACGAGAGAAGAGAGCGAUAAAAAGAGAGAAAGAAAGAAAUCUUUAUUUGUUUUCGUCUUCGCUUUCCUAUCUCUUUCCUUCCCCCACACGGGCCGACCAUUAAAAGAGAGUCUCUCUCUCGCACUUCUCCAUCCAAAGGGCCAAAGGCGUAGUAGAUAGGUAAAACUUUAAAACCCUUUCCUUUCCUUUCCUUUGCUACUUACUCACUCUUUCUUUUUCUUCAAUUUUUGUUUUUUUUUUCUCUCACAGAAGAAAGCUUCCGUCUUUCUGCUGUGUGAACUUUUAAGGUGGAGUUUUCUAUUUCUCCUAAGUCUUUUGGUGGUUUCAUUUUGAUUUUUAUGAAUCUGGCUACUCUUCAUUUGAUUUGAGAAAAAAAAAUAUGCUGACUUUGAGAUUAGGGUUUGUGUGAAUUCCUGUAUCGAUUUGUUCAUAAAAUGAAUGCUUGGUAGUUGAAGUUACUUUACUAUUUUGGUUGCAUUGCCUCUAAGAAUGCUUUUGAGAUUAAGCUUUGUGAUACUCUUCUGCUAUUUUUAUGUGCCUAUGCUGUUUCUAUCAAGAGGAUGAGUAGCUUUAGUAGCCUUUGACUUGCUGCUGAUUUACUCAACUAUUGCAAGAUAACAUAUUAACACUUGUUGGAUUUGGUCAAGUAUAAGUGAAAGGUUACACAAAGCUUUUUGAUUGCCUUUUAGUUUUUUUUUUUUUAAAAUGAGUUUAUGAUGUUUUCCUCGUGGUCUUAGUCUGUAUAGAGCUAAAACUAAUGACUUAUUACCAUUACGCAAUGCAGCCUCCAACUCUUGCAUCAUGGCUAGGCUCUUGGCUAAUUCUACAUCCCGUUCUUUACUUGGUUCCGGAAGAGACUUUCAGUCAGAAGACUACAGAAAACCAAGAAGAUGUGUGAAGAUGAUGUACACUUCUCAAACAUCCGUUUUGAGUAUCCAGAGCUUCUCUGGUUUAAGGGCUUCCAAUGCGCUGGAUCGGGUGGCAAGGCCUAGCCACGACUUUUUCGGUAAGGUUAACCUUCAAAUGUCUUCUUCCCGGAGAGAAAAAGCUAGCCGAGGUGUAACAAAAGCCAUGUUUGAGCGGUUUACCGAGAAAGCAAUCAAGGUCAUCAUGCUGUCUCAAGAGGAAGCUCGGAGGCUUGGCCAUAACUUUGUUGGCACUGAGCAAAUACUGUUGGGACUGAUUGGGGAAGGCACUGGAAUCGCUGCAAAGGUUCUUAAAUCCAUGGGGAUCAAUCUUAAAGAUUCUCGUGUGGAGGUGGAAAAGAUCAUUGGAAGAGGCAGUGGUUUUGUGGCUGUGGAGAUCCCAUUUACUCCUCGUGCAAAGCGUGUCCUGGAGCUCUCACUUGAGGAAGCUCGCCAACUUGGUAAAUGAUCCCAUUUACUUUCUUGACUGAUGAAACUCAACACGUUUUGACUUGUUUUUGUUAUUUUGGAUAAUAGGGCAUAACUACAUUGGGUCAGAGCAUCUUCUGCUUGGUCUUCUUCGUGAAGGGGAAGGUGUUGCAGCUCGUGUCCUGGAGAAUUUGGGUGUAGAUGCUAGCAACAUCCGGACGCAGGUAAAUGCAUAAACUCUGAAUCAUUUAAUGUCUUUGGUAAACAAUAUCUUGAAUACAUUUUGAGUAUAUAUAUAUAUAUUUUUUGUCAGGUUAUACGUAUGGUGGGAGAAAACAAUGAAGUGACGGCAAGCGUGGGUGGAGGAUCUAGCGGAAACAGCAAAAUGCCAACACUAGAAGAGUAUGGGACCAACUUAACUAAACUAGCAGAAGAGGUAAUCAAAAAUAGCUUACUCCAAUAUUCAUCUUGAAGAAACUCUCAAGUGUAAUAUUAAUACUUGAUUGAAUGCUUUUUUUCUGAAAUUUGUGUGUCUUAACUCUCUGUUCCAGGGUAAACUGGAUCCAGUUGUUGGAAGGCAGCCACAGAUAGAAAGAGUGGUCCAGAUCUUGGCUCGAAGAACCAAGAACAACCCUUGUCUUAUUGGAGAACCUGGAGUUGGUAAGACAGCAAUAGCUGAAGGACUCGCACAGAGAAUUGCCAGUGGAGAUGUCCCUGAAACAAUUGAGGGGAAGACGGUAAAUAUUCUCCCAUUGGAUCAUUGUUUUAAAGAUGCUGUGAAGUUUGCACAUGUAUAUAUGUUUUAAAGUAUUUACCGCGUACAUUUUGUUUGUCCAGGUGAUAACCCUUGAUAUGGGUCUUCUUGUGGCUGGAACGAAGUACCGUGGAGAAUUUGAAGAAAGGUUGAAGAAGCUGAUGGAGGAGAUCAGACAAAGUGAUGACAUAAUCCUGUUUAUUGAUGAAGUGCACACUCUGAUCGGUGCAGGAGCCGCUGAAGGUGCCAUUGAUGCUGCUAACAUCUUAAAGCCAGCUCUUGCAAGAGGUGAAUUGCAGGUAAGAUUGAUUUUAUUUCUUUCUUUCUAUUGGUCAAAAUGUAAACUAAUAGAACCAUAAAUAAGUUUUUGUUUUAACGGUUGUUGUAGUGUAUUGGUGCAACAACAUUGGAUGAGUACAGGAAGCACAUUGAGAAAGAUCCUGCACUGGAGAGACGGUUCCAGCCUGUCAAAGUACCUGAACCAACUGUAGACGAAGCUAUACAGAUCUUGCACGGUCUGCGUGAGCGUUAUGAGAUCCACCACAAGCUCCGCUACACUGAUGAAGCUUUGGUUGCUGCUGCGCAGUUGUCACAUCAGUACAUCAGGUACUCUUGUUUUCUCUAUUCUCACUCUUUCACCAACACACAACAUGUUGAAUCAAUUUCUCAACCUAUUCUAUUCUCUUGAAUGAACAGUGACCGGUUUCUUCCCGACAAAGCCAUUGACUUGAUUGAUGAAGCUGGAUCUCGGGUUAGGCUGCGUCACGCUCAGGUUUGUGUUUGAAUGUUUCUUGCAUUAUCAGAAAGCUACCACUUAUAUAUCUCUAUUGGAGUUGGUUGAGGAUGGAAAUUUUUGUUUACUUAGGUCCCUGAGGAAGCUAGAGAGCUUGAAAGGCAACUCAGACAGAUCACUAAGGAGAAGAAUGAAGCUGUAAGAGGCCAAGACUUUGAGAAGGUAUUGUCUUAGAGUUUUUCUUAGUAUUGAUGAAUCCAAGAUUAGUUGUUAGAAGUCCCUGAGUUCUUCUCCAACAGGCUGGUUCUCACCGGGACCGGGAAAUAGAGCUUAGAGCCGAGAUAGCUGCUGUUUUAGCCAAAGGCAAAGAAGUGAACAAAGCUGAGACUGAAGCUGGCGAGGAAGGGGGACCUACUGUCACUGAAUCCGACAUCCAACACAUUGUCUCCACCUGGACAGGAAUCCCAGUAGAGAAAGUCUCCUCUGAUGAAUCUAGCCGUCUUCUCAAGAUGGAGCAGACUCUUCACACAAGAGUCAUUGGCCAAGACGAAGCCGUCAAAGCCAUUAGCAGGGCCAUCCGACGUGCACGUGUUGGACUCAAGAACCCGAACCGGCCAAUAGCAAGUUUCAUCUUCUCUGGUCCAACCGGUGUGGGGAAAUCAGAGCUUGCCAAAGCCUUGGCUGCUUACUACUUCGGCUCAGAGGAAGCAAUGAUCCGUCUGGACAUGAGUGAGUUCAUGGAGCGACACACCGUUUCGAAACUCAUUGGUUCGCCUCCUGGUUACGUAGGAUACACGGAAGGAGGUCAGCUAACGGAGGCGGUUAGACGCAGGCCCUACACGCUUGUCCUCUUCGACGAAAUAGAGAAAGCUCAUCCUGAUGUUUUCAACAUGAUGCUUCAGAUCCUAGAAGAUGGCAGACUAACUGACAGCAAAGGAAGAACGGUUGAUUUCAAGAACACGCUUCUGAUCAUGACAUCAAACGUAGGAAGCAGCGUGAUUGAAAAGGGUGGUAGAAGAAUCGGGUUUGAUCUCGACUACGACGAGAAAGACAGCAGCUACAACAGAAUCAAGAGCCUAGUGACUGAGGAACUGAAACAGUAUUUCAGACCAGAGUUCUUGAACAGGUUGGAUGAGAUGAUUGUUUUCAGACAGUUGACGAAGCUGGAAGUGAAGGAGAUUGCUGAUAUAAUGCUUAAAGAAGUGGUGGUGAGGCUUAAGGACAAGGAGAUUGAGCUUCAAGUGACUGAGAGGUUUAAGGAGAGAGUGGUGGAUGAAGGGUUCGACCCGAGCUACGGUGCAAGGCCGCUGAGAAGAGCGAUUAUGAGGCUGUUGGAAGAUAGCAUGGCGGAGAAGAUGCUUUCAAGGGAGAUUAAAGAUGGAGACUCUGUGAUUGUUGAUGUUGAUGCUGAAGGAAGUGUGGUUGUGUUGAAUGGUAAGAACGGAAGUGGUGACGGUUUUGUUGCUGAAGAAGCCAUGGAGGAUCCAAUUCCUGUGUUGUAGAAGGGAAGAGGAGAGUUCUAGAGAUUUUAUUUUUCUUCAUCUCUUUGAAGUGUUGUUGGUUGAACUGUCUCAUUUGAUUUUGUUUUUGCAUUUUUAAAUUGUUUCUGGAUAUUGAUUGCUCGGGAACCAUGGGGAGCUUCCCUCAACACGAAAAAAUGAAAUGAGAAUAACAUGGUCAGAGCUGAAUCGAGUUAUUUUCUUUAACCAAAGCUUGUAGAACUUAAGUUGCGAAUUUAAGAAUACCAAAGCUUACACAGUCGGAGUGUGAAAAAAGAGUACACAGAUUCUUCGUGAAACUUGCAUGAAAAGAAAGAAAUAUACAAACCGAAAAUUUCAUAUACCGUAGUGAGGAAGAAGCAACAAAUUACAAGAGAGGAAAAAGCUUCAACUAUGGAUCAGCAUCGAGAUCGUGAUUCGAAGGAGAAGAAGUGGGAGAUGGAAGCUGAUCAAUUUCUCUUCGAGAAGCUUCCCAUAACUGUUGUUCUAUUCCCAGUUUCCUUAGCUCUAUCAAUCCUCUUUCCACUGAAGGAAGACAAAGAAAAAUCGAAACAUUUCAGCUUCAUCAUUGUGAAUCGAAAAGAUUUUCAAGCGAUAAGUCAGUAGGUGUGAUUUUUACCAUCCAAGGAAUCGUGAGAAGUAGUUGAUUUCCCGUUGCUACGGCUGAUCCAUAGCUGGACACGUUCUUCUGCGAUGUCUUCUUCCACACCCAGUAACUUAGCUCUGCCCCAGAAGUACAUCAGCCAUGCCUGGAUUAUGUGAAAUUGUAGCAAUCAAGACCAUAUUUUGAUUGAAACCCGUGUAUGUUCCAUUGCUCUACAUGUCUUUCUAAGCAACUGCAAUCAGGAUACACGUGUAUUUGAUGAUGAGAAAGUACCUGCUUAAAGGCAACAUCUUCUUGUUCCGCUUCACCCAAUUCUGCAUUUAAAAAUAAGAUGGGAAUAUUGUAAAAAAUAAUUAAUGAAAUGGCUGAUGACAUUGACAUGUGACUAUUAGUCCGACGAAGGCAUAUAUCGGCCUAGUGUCUCCAAGUUCUUUUUUCUCGACCACUUUCUCUACUAAAUCGACAACUCCACGCACUAUCAACAUCCAAUGGUUGAGGGUUCGACGCCCCAAGAACCUCUACAUAAGGGUGGAUCACAAAGAGAAGAUCAAAAGAACCUGAAAGUUUUUUCCUUACCAUAUGCAUCUACAAAUCUGGAUUCUCCAUGACCUUUGUGAUCUGUAAGACAUAGGAAAAAACAAAUAAUCACAUUUGCUUUUAGCUCUGCAGGAUGCCAAAGAUAUAUAUACCAUCGUCUGGAUGUGACCAGAGACAUGCCAUUACUGAAUAAUAAUAAUGAUAACUUUUGAGCAGAAACCGGUGCAGCUUCAUUAUAAGAGCUUAUGUGUGUUUCUAUAGAAGACAAUGCUCAUAGACAUCUUAAGAAUAGAAGCGGAGAGAAAGUGAAGGAUAUAUUUUGGUGUUAAAAGCUCGUAAUUCCAUACAUACCAGAAACAGUUUGACGUAUCAAACUUGGUUUUCUCUGCUGGGCAAAUGCAAGAACGAUAGCAUCCUCAACCUGAAUAUUUAAACAUAAAAGAAGAUUUUUAAAACGUUGUCUUUAGAGAUCUAUAGUUAAAGGUAACUUAGAAUCAAGAGCGGACACCUUUAAUGAUGCUAGCUCUCUCAAACCCAUCUCAACUGAAAGCAUACUUUCAAUAUUUCCUUCUCCAGUUAGAUCACUCAAAUCUCUAGCAGCUCUAUUCCGAUCAUUCCCACCUGCUUCAUUGGGAACAACAAUAAGCAAGGUAUACUUUACAGUUUAAACUAAAGCAGAAUUUAGACGAGCCUUUAUCCCAAGAUAAAUCCUUGGCCUUCUGUGCUGCAGAGGUGACAAGCUCAAAUGGAAGAGGAGCCAACGCCGACCAAUGCUCAUGCCUGGAUAGUGCUAUAUCCGCAAAAAUGUCUACAAAAGGAUAGAAUUGGAAGAAAGCACAUAUCAGAUGUACUACAUGUAUAAUUACCACACCAUAAAUAUGUGAAAAAUGUAUUAACAGAUUAUUAUUUUAGUUUAGAUUGAACUCUUUUGUUUUUAAAUGGAUAAGCCACCUACCGUAUUGCACAGCCAAACCCCAAUAUCGGGCAAGCCAACAUCUCUUCAGGACUACUUCUUCCUAUAUGAGUCAAUAAUUGAUAAAUUCAGAAACUUAUAAAUGAUUGAUAGAAUAGGAGACCUAGGCUUUCUCGACAAACCAUUUCGUCCUGUGUUAAAAUCAUCCUUUGAGUCAUUGUGCGAAGAGAUUUCGCUUCAGACUCUGCUUCUUGAAGCCGUUCUGCAGCGGUAGUAGCCUCGUCUUUCAAGCUCUGAACAUAGCAGAGACGAAUAAGACAAGGUUUCAUCAUGCAAAUAAAAAUGUUGCAACAAAUGAAACCAAUACUCCAGUGUAUUACCUCAAGUUCUGACCGUAGAGAAACAAGUACAUCAUCCUUCCCAUUGUUUUUCUGUUUAGCAGCAUUUAGAGUAGCCUGUAACAGGAACCAUUUUCCUCCACAGCUUAAAUAAUAUUUAUUUUUUACAUAAAUAAGCUACGUUAUUUAUGUUCACACUAACCUCUCUUUGACGCAAUGCUGCUUCCUUCCUAUAGAAAGACACAAUUAACAACAUCAGCGAUCAUAAGUACCACCCAUGAUUCUGGAAAAGAGAAACACAGAGAGAAGCAAAAGAAAGCACAAGCUUUUACCUGCUUAACAGUUUUGCCUCCAGAGACACUCCUUCACCAAGAGAGGCAACCUUUUAGGGGAAAAGGAUAAAACAAAUGAAACCUUGCACAACUGCCAAUACUAAAGCACAGGCGAUUUGAAGUAAAUAAAUAUGCAAAUCACUGAAACUGCAAGUGCUAACAUAUGAGAAUAGAUCGGUCCAUUUGUAAAUGAUUUUAUCAAAAUAUAAUCUGCAUCACCACCUAUAUUUUAACAAAGCCUGCUUAUACUAGAUAUAAGUCAGAGUAAGUUCAUAACAUUUGUAUACACUCAACAUCUCCAGUAGAUAUUAGGCAACUAUUUACGUCCUCUCCUAAAAAUAUAGAUAGCGCAACAAGGCAGGAGGUUGUAUCAACAAGAUAACGAUUGCUGACUUGAGUCUAAUAAAUAUUGUCAAUAAAGGGGUGCAAACGAGUGGCGAAUCUUUUCCCUUAGGGGUUUUAAGAAGCAACAUCAGUAAAAAGAAUGAACUACUCAAGAAAACUGGUUCCAAAACCUGUUUCUCAAGCUCCUUAGCCCUAGCUUCUGCUUCCGCCUUUUUUUCCUCUGCACGGCGAAGCUGUAAUCAAGAGCGAAUGUUAUGCACAACGGAGGUGAACAGCUUUAUUAAUUAAAAAUAAAUUUCAAUGUCAGACAUCAAACCUUCUCCAGUACAAUCUCAUUCUCCUCUUGUAGCAUAUCCAGCUGCAGUUAAAAAUUAAUCAGCCUCAAGUCAAGACAUCUUCCGACUCGCGCACAAAUUCUGAUUUUGACUAUAAUAUUCCAAUAUGCAAACACAGAAAAUUGACCAGAUACCAAAAAGGAUAAAAGAAACAAUCACAUACUUCAUCACGAAGAGCUGAAGCUUCCCGCUGAUCACCCUUUUCUUUUGAAUUUACUGAUGGUAGAUCAGCAAAAAACCUAUGAACAUUAAAAAUCUGGACAUUAGACGAAAGGGGCAAUCACUAUAUCUUUGAGCAAGGAGGCCAUUGACUUCCCAUUUAUUAUAAACCUCUCUAUAUCAAGCUUUGACUAACCACAUCUCUAAAACCAUCUCCAACCCAAUUCUAUAUUUUUCCUCUAGGCAUACUAAAAAUUGAGGUGAGUUUCACUCCAAUGGUCUAAGAAGUUGAAAAAUGAAAAAGCAACAACCUUUUAUCUCGGUUCCUAGUAGGAGGAUCAAGUGGAGGAAUAGCACUCGGAGCUUUCACCGCCACCCUGCUUGGGGGCAUUAGAUUAGGAGUCGGAGUCGUGGAUCUAGUCGAUAUCGACGGCCUUCCGGCUGAAGCAGACCGCACCGAAGGCACUUGCUCAACGAAGUUCCUACCUAACUAUAAUCAACCCAUAAAAAAAGAAACAAAUCAAAGUUCAUAACAUAUUCAAAAUCAAACUGAUCUGAGCUAUUUCUAGAAACAGGGAUGCGGAAUUCACCGCAGGCGACGGCGAUCUGUUGCGGAGAGCGAAGGAAACAGCCGGCGGUUUACUAUCUCCGUUGCUGUUAUUGCUCCCAGUGGAGGAUAGAGAAGAAGGUGCGUGACGAGCGGGUUUCAGAGAAGCAGGUGCGAAUCUGAGGCUUAGAUCUUCAUCCUCGUCUUCCUCAUCUUCGUCUCCGUUGUCUUUGUUCUGCAAGGCCAUGACCUUAGCCAAUCUCUGAGCCGCCGCUUUGGCAGCAACGUUUUGAGACCGUUUGGCGGUGGAGAAACCUCC
rnacentral:lncRNA from 1 species